AGAAGGCCUUAGAGGAAACUUUGGAGUGGUGUGACCUAAAGCACCUCAGGUCACUCUGGCAGGGCAGAGUGUGGUAGACCCCAGUAGCCUUACCACAGAAAUAUAGAUGCCCAACUGGUUUGAGAUGUUGAGGGAGGAGGAGGAUUUGGAGGCCUUGGGAGAGGCAGACGAUGAGGAGGCAGAAGUAUGGUGAACAUGGCCGGAGCUGAUGCUAGCGAGCCUUGAGGUUGAGACAGCAAGGUGAGGUUGCACUGGGCAGUGACCCCAGAGGACAGUGGACAGUGUUUCAGGAGUGACGUUUAACCAGGUGGGCCUGAAAUUUCUUUUCCGGAACGGUGUGCUUGCUGCUGUAGAAGUCCCUGGUUGUGCUUUCCAGGCAGACAUUUGUUGCUAGACUGCAGGGUGGGGCAAACAUCCUGCACCAGGCGAAGGAGGAGAUCUCAUCCCCUAGGGGCGGCAACCCUCCAUGUGCUGGCAGGCCAUGCUGGAGGUUUUGGGCAGAGCAGGAGUGGUGAGAGAGCACAAGUGUUCUGAACAUCCCGUGGAGACCAGCCCGGCCAAGCCCUCCCAGACCCGGUUGAAGAGUUCCCACUGUAAUGGUGGCCUAUGUGGUUUUCUGUGUUCACAGUGUCCAAUCCUGGGUCCGGCCUGGCCGGGGUGCAGAGAGGGUGGCUUAGUGACCUUUGCCGAGGGCUGCAGGCUCCAGACUGAGCCUCCACCUAAGAGAAGUUGUUUGAUGUGGCUGACAUGCCUGAGAAGGCACGAAGAUGAAGUGUCCAAUCCUGGGUCCGGCCUGGCCGGGGUGCAGAGAGGGUGGCUUAGCGACUUUUGCCGAGGGCUGCAGGCUACUGACUGAGCCUCCACCUAAGAGAAGUUGUUUGAUGUGGCUGACAUGCCUGAGAAGGCACGAAGAUGAAGUGUCCAAUCCUGGGUCCGGCCUGGCCGGGGUGCAGAGAGGGUGGCUUAGCGACUUUUGCCGAGGGCUGCAGGCUUCUGACUGAGCCUCCACCUAAGAGAAGUUGUUUGAUGUGGCUGACAUGCCUGAGAAGGCACGAAGAUGAAGUGUCCUAUUCUGGGUCCUGCGUGGCCGGAGUGCAGAGAUGAUGUCCUAGCAUCCUUUGCCCAUUCAGGGCUGCAGGCUCCUGAAUGAACCUCAGCCUCCAGAGGAUUUGUGUGUUGUUGCUGAAAUGCUUGUGGAAGCCCGAUGAUCAAGAACCUUUUUACAUAUCCAUGGCUUUCCUGGAACUCACUAUACAUAUACAUUUCUGUCUUUGAACUCACAGAAAUCUAUCUACCUCUGCAUUCUCGGUGCUAGGAUUAAAGGUAUGUGCUACCACACCAAGCUUUUUACACUUUAUAUAUUUCAAGGUGACAAAAUGUACUACUCUGUGUUUAAUGAUGGUACAAAUCAAGAUAUUAUAUAUUUUCACUUAAUCAUGAUUUGUUAUGAAUAUUUGAAUACCAUAAUCCCUACCUUAUUUAUUCAAAAUAAUUUUAAGUGUUUAAAAUAUUGAAGGUUUUUCACUGUCUUUAUAAAAUGUAUAUAUGUCUAUUUUCUAGUUAUUCAAUAUAACCUGGAUAAAACAAAAUAUGUUGUUUUAGUAUUGUAUUAUCUAAGAGCUAUUAAUACAUGUAAAUACAUCAACAGCUGUUUUGUUUUUUCAACCAAUUUUAAAUUAUUAUUUAUUAAAAUUUAAGUUAUUAUGGCAGGCAAAUACAAAUUGUUUUUUGUUAGAAAAACAUUUACACACUUUUCAGAGGGUAACUGGCAUAUGAAGUAGAAUAAGGCACACACAGUAGAAAUAGUUUGACAUUUAUUCAUUUUUAAAAUUAAAAUAUUAGUAAUUGUUUCAAAUACAUUAUUAUGAAGUAACAUUAUGGUUAUCUACAACUCUAAGAUGCCUUUGUAAGUCUUAAAGCAAGUCUUUAAAAAUUGACAUUAAAAUAUUUGGAGUUGUUUUUUGUGUAGGGCAGUCUAAGAUAUGGAUCUUGAAAAACCCAUUUGUCUGUUUUAAACAUUGCAGUAGUAAUUAAAAAAUCCUUAAAACUGUGCAGUAGGGGUGCAUGUCUUUAAUCCCAGGGAGGCAGAAUCACACUGUUCUCUAUGAUUUCAAGACCAGCCUGGUCUACAGAGUAGUUCAAGGACAGCCAAGGUUAUACAAAGAAACCUUCCUGAAAACAGAGAAAAACCCAAAAUGACAAAAAUAUCCUUAAAAUAAACCUUUUAAUGCUUAUAUUUACACACACACACACACACACACACACACACACACACACACACCAUAUCUAAAAGUGACGACAGACAUAAGUUAUCCUCUUAAUGUUUGGAAGAAAGAGUUCAGUAUCUUGAAUGAUGGUAAAAGUCCAAUAAAAGAAAAAUACAUCCUAGAGAAAGAAUAGUCAUUUCUUGGUUAAUUUACAUUCUCAAACAACAGGGAAAUGGAGAACCGGAACUUAGAUGAGGGCCAAAUAGAAAAUGUGUUGACUAAAAUUGUACUAUUAUAUAUAAUGUUCUUAAAAACCAGGAUUUUAAAACUUUCAGUUACUGAAACUCAUGUCAAUUGUUCUAAGAAAGAUCUAGGACCAUUAGCCAUCUCUGUUUCAACUAAAAGGCCACACUGGUUAAAUAUGUUCUUUUUGUCCUUUUCCAUUCUUUGUCUGUUAAAAUUUUAGUUUCAUGAUGAGCAAAAGGAUGCUGGGUCGUUUUAGUUUAUAUUAACUUAAAAUGAAAUUUGUUACUGUGUAAAUUAUAUAAAAACAUACUCAUAUGAGAAAGAAUAUAGGCUGGAAGAAACAGGAAUUCACUCUCUUUUUGGCUCGGAGGUGGAGUAGGUAAGGUGGCUGUGGUUUUGCCCCUUUAUCUCUCUAAUCUCUCAGCAUUUCCCCCUAUAACUGACUCUGAGGUUUUAUUACCAAGACCUAUUAGAACUCACAAUACAUCUGUGUGUUUUGGGUCAGGCUUACAUGAUGCUUUUGGGAUUGAUUGUCUAUGCUUUUACCAUUUGACCAUCUUUUUUCAAUGAGUCUUCGGGUUAUCAUACAUGUUUACACAAACAUAAGAGUAUGCAACACACUGGGUGACUCAACACACAAAUAUUUCCCUGGUGUGCCAACAAAUUUCCUUCUGAGCCAGGGACACAGUAUGUUUGUUGAAUUCACUAUGAGGCCUGCACAUCCUAGGGUGUCCACCUGACAGAUCUACCCAUUUAGGUAUGAAGGAACAAGUGCCUCUCAUCUUUUGUAUUUUUGUUAUCAGGUACACACACAAUUCUUAAAAUAAAGGCUGGUGAAGUCAAAAGAGAAACUGAAUGAAAAUGCAGACUUAGGUAUUGAAGUAGUGUCAGGAGGCAAAGACUAAAUGAUAAUAUAUCAAAACAUUUUACACACACACACACACACACACACACACACACACACACACAAAAAAAAAAUCAAUAAAACACGCAAACAAAAAAACCCAAGACAGGCAAAAUGUCUUCAAAUCCUCAAAAGUGAACAAAAUACAAAUGCCUUUAGCGAUAUGAAAGUAAGAAAGCAAACAAAAUGAAGCCAAUGUUUAGAAAAAUAUGCUGUCAAAGCAAACAAACUAGAUAUCUUAAGCCAAAUGCAUGGAUUAAUGCCAUUAAUGAUGAAUUUCCAGUCACCAAUAAUGCAUUUGUGUCACAUUAAGAGGAAUAAAAAAGCAUUUCCCCUUGGAGUCAUUUAACCCAGAAUGAGUCCAGAUUUGAAUUCUGUACUUCACACUUGUUGUGUGUUACCUUCAUCUGUUUAUUCUAUGAAUUUGAAUCUGUGUUUAUGUGAAGGCUAUCUUGUGAAUCUGUAAUGGUCUGUGUCUUAUGUCUAUCUAUAUGUGACCGUGUGUGCGUGCAUGUGUCUGUGUAUGUGUAUGUCAGUCUGUGUCAGUGUAUGUGUAUAUUUUGUGUGUCUUUGUGUCUUCCCCCAAAAAAACAUGUCUUUACUCUGUCUUUCCUGGACAGCAUGGGGAGCAUCAAGUAUGAAAUGAAUGGGAUAAUUUACAGAAAUAUUUAAGAAUUUUACAAAGGAUUAGGUCACUGGUUCCAACUGACCCUAACUGACCAAGCCAACAAGCCUAAGUACAAACACCAUUGCAUAUCAAACAAUAUAUACAAAUAAACAAUUACUUUAGAAAAGUAUUUGCCAUGUUCAUUUACUCCCGUCAGUUAAAGAACUAAAAAGAAGAAAAAUAAAUCAACAGUUAGUAGAAGAGAAUAAGAGCAAACAAAAUAAAUGUGAAGACAUACACAAAUGUAGAAGACAUACUAAGAAAAAGACUAAUCCUCCAUAAAACAGAAAAGUCCACUCUCAUUGAGAAGGCUGGUGUUAUGUUUGCUGAAGGUUCUCCCUCAUCUGAGUAUUGGUUGAUUUGAAGAAACAUAGAAUGGCUGAUUCAUUCACAAUUGUUAUAUAAGCAUGGCCUGAUUUGACACCAAAGUUUUUAAGCCAGACUAUCAGCUGGGGCUUACUGGCAGCAGAAAAAGCCUACAAGACUUUUGUUUUAAGUUGCCAGGCUUUUGUCUCAGGUCAAGAAGGUGAGGAAGAACCCUGGAAGUUCACCAACUUUAUUAUUUCUAUAUUGCCCCUCUCCUUCUGUCUGCCUCCCAGGGAAAUCUGUGUAAUACCUACUCUCACUUUCAGCAAAAUAUACUUGCAUUAUCUGGGUCAGGAGUAGAGAAGGGGACGUGCUUUAAGAUUGCAACUAUAUAUUGGCUUAGAUUGUAAAAUUUGAUUACAUGGGGAAGUCAAGGCAAGUAAGGUCAUUGUUACAUUGUUCUCUUAUAGUCAGGUUAAGCAAACAGGCUGAAUAUAUAGUAGAAUAGCAGUCUUAAGCUAUAUUGUUAACCCUGGAUUAAGAGAUUUUUUUCAUAAUGUAUCAUCACUUUAAUUAUUUUGGAAGAAGAUAUAAAAGGAAUCUGUCAAAUUAGGAUCCUACCAAAAAAGCCUUCAAUCAAGCCAAGGGUGGUCCUAGAACCACAGAAAGAAGACAAAAACAUUCCACCUGUAGAUAUAACACCAGACAGUCUAUAUUCAAUGGGUCAAUCAGUUAUCUGGCUUCCAUUCAAGUGAUUCAUGCAGAGAAAAAAGAAUCAUUUUUGGAGUCCUAACUUGUAGCCCAACACUACUUGGGCUCUUUGGUUUAGCUCAUUAACCCAUUUGCACAUAUGGGAGUGAUUUUGCUCAACCAAUGAACUCUGUUAUUUAUAAACAUGUGACCCUGGAACAUUCCUAGCAAAAACUGCUACACCCUGGUCAUGGAAGAGUACCAAAAGCCACAGGCAGGGAAAGAACCAAUGAUCUGUUAGAUUUAGUGCCCCAGGUUUCCUUCAUGCCCUUCUCAGGUAGCUUUCUUGCUAUUUCAAAGAGCUUCUGGUAAAUUGAAACGUGAGAGAAGGAAGAUAUACUGGCAUUAUAGGUGUCUGCCUCUCAUUUAUAGUUCUUAGAGAUUCUAGAUAUAAAUCUUGUCUCCUGACUUGAUUUCAGGGAGAUAAGAAUUAUUUACUGUUGUAGCUGUAGUUCUGAUUUCAGAGAACACCCUCUGGGAUUUCCAGUUUCUUGGGUCCCUAAACGAGGAACUAAACCAAGGGUGUGUAUCUAGUUAUAUAAAUAGACAGUUUAUGAAAAGGAAAAAGCACUCACCUGAGUACAAUUAGGUCAGAGACCUGGGAAAUAGGAGAAACUUACUUAAGGUUCACUUACUGUUUUUCAUGUACUUUCUCUGUUGACUAUAUUCAUGUAAGUGACAGUCUUUCUACAAACUGGCUGUUUCUAUGGUAAUUUAAUGGAACUUUCUUCAUUGGUCUCCCUCCCCCUUUCUUUUCAUUUGCUGACUUAUUCUUAAGCUAGGCAAGGUUGUAAAUAACUCUGUAGUCCUUGUCAAGGUAUGGUACUGCCCAUUCUCCUGAAAAUGAAUUUGACCCUUUGACUUCCAGCAGGAAUUUUAGCAUUUUCCUACUUACAUCAGUAGAGUCAUGGGAAAUUUGAAAUUUCUUUUUUAAAAAUUUUUAAAAAUAUUUAUUUAUUAUGUAUACAAUGUUCUGCCUGUAUGUAUGCCUGCAGGCCAAAGAGGGCAACAGGUCUGAUUAUAGAUGGUUGUGAACCACCAUGUGGUUGCUGGGAAUUGAACUCAGGACCUCUGGAAGAGCAGUGAGUGCUCUUAACCUGUGAGCCACCUCUCCAGUCCCAAAUUUCUUUCUUUUUAUUAUUUUAUACAUUACAUCUUGACCAGUUUCCUUCCAUCCAUUCCUUCCAGUCGCCUUGACCUUUUCCCUCAGAUACACACUUCCAUUUCCCUUCAUAAAAGAGCAGCCUUCCGGGCGGAUCAACCAAACACAGCAUAAUAAAUUACAAUAAGACUAGGCACAAACCCUCAUAACAAGGCAAGACAAAGCAACCUGGGAGGAGGAAAAGGGUCCAGACUCAGGCAAGAGUCAGAAACACCCACCAUUCCCAUUGUUAGGAGUCCCACAAGAACACCACACUUUGCAAACAUAACACAUAUACAGAGGCCCUAGUUUAGACCAGUAGAGGCUCUAUGAUUGUCACUUUAGUUCCUUAGAGUCCCUAUGAGCCCUGCUUAGUUGAUUCUGUAAACCAAGUUCUUAUUGUGUCCUUGACCCAUCUGGAUCCUCCCCCUCUUCUGUAGGCCCCCAAGCUCCACCUAAUAAUUGAAAUGCCUUAAAAAUACUUUGUGUUUAAUAGUCCUAUUGCCAGUGGACACUCAGCACAUUUGUCUGAUAUAUAGUAACUUCUUGCCUGCUAAAUUCCAUCUACUCUCACCAAAAUGAAUUACAUUAUUAGUGACUGGAAUCACCAACAAAAUUUCAAUGGAAAAAUCAACAUAAUGGGAAAAAAUUCUAAGAUGAUUGAGGAAACACAAAAGGCAUAAACAUCCAAAUCAACCUUGAUGUAAAUGAGCAAAAGCUGGACAAGUCACAUAUGUUAGUCCCACUUGGUGAGAAUAGGACCACUACCACAAUUUUUGAGCAAAUUUGAAGUAAGCUCCAUUAAAUAUUGGUCAGGAAAAUAGAUACUGGCCAUGUCCAUACUUAGAAUUCUCAAAGAAUGGCCAGGAAUUAUGUUAGGUGUUGAUAAAGGCAAAACCCACAAGACUACAAACUUCCAAUCAGGGCCAGGCAUACAUUGUGAUGUACUUUCUGCCUAUGUACCUCUCACCUAUGUGUGAUCAAGCACAUCCUGUGCAGUUGGGGCAACAAACCUUGUUUAUAUGGCUUGUUUGUUACCUUAUAUGAACUCCUGCAGCAUUCUAGUAAGUUACAUGUCCUUCAGCAAGUAGGGUUUGCAUGUUAGAAGCAUUUUUGUUUCAUACAUCUCUCAAGAACAGUAAUUUAAACUUAAAACAACUUUAGCCCUCACAGUAUCUUGAUUUCAAAUAUACAAAAGAAAUCCAAACAGCCUAAGAGCAGACACACCAGCCAGUGACAAAGAACUGGUGCCAAGUAAUUUUUACUUUGGUUUUAAAAGAAUAAACAAUAGUAAAUCAAUGCUGUUGAAAAACUAGAUAUCCAUUUAUAAUAUAUUGUAUUCAUACACUUGUCUCAUACUGUGUGUAAAAUAAACUUAGUGAACUAAAAUUUUAAAGGUAAACUUGAACCUGUCAAAAUACUGAAAGAAAAGAAGAGUAAAAUGUGACUUCCCAAACAUAGACAAGAAAAACAAGGUAAUACCAAACUUCAAGGCUCAGUGGGAACCAUUAUAAGGUAUAAAAUCUGUAUAAUACUAUUGUUUUUUUCAGAAAACCACAACACAGCCUAUGAAAGGCAGCCAUGAAGUUGGUCAUCAACUACAAUAUGACUCAUUGUCUGCCAGAUAUAUUAAGUUCAAGGUCACUUUUAUUAAUAUAAUUACUGACAAUGUGGACUGACAAAAAUAAAUCUCCUUGGCAUCUGAACAAAAUGGUUGAGUCCUUAAAAUGCCUUAUUAGUCAGCAGUAGAUUUAAAUCUUGUUUCUUAACUUCAUUAAGAUCACUUGUGUUUAUGGUCCAAACUGAUACCACAAGUGCAUGGAUUUCCUACUGUCAUGCUAAGACAGGCUGACUUUUAUUACUUAUACCAGCUUCUUUUUUCUGAGAAAGAACACAGUAAUAUACUCCAGUGGUAACCUUUCACAGUUUGUAAAUAUUUCCUCAUGUAAUGUUAAGUUUUCUUGGCCCAGCAGGUCCCACCACCCUUCUUUGCCCCCAAAGAAGCACACAGAUGCUAUGUUAAUUAAGAAACGGUUGGCCAGUGAUUAGUGUUUCUUAUUGGCUAGCUCUGAAUUAAUUACUAAUUCAUAACUCCUAAUCCAUUUAUUUCCAGGUGGUCUUGGCUUACUGGAGUGCUAGACCUGCAACUCCUUUGCCUGCUACAUCUCUGCAGAGAAGAGGAGAGAAUGAUUUUCUGUUUGUCCCUGCUAAUAUACUGUUACUGCUUACAAAGAUUCCCAGAAUCUUCCUCAUAUCCUAGUCACACCCAUUUUACUGCCCUAUUGGCCAAUAGUGCUUUAUUCAUCAACCAAUAAGACAAACAUAUAUACAGAAGAACAUUCCCCAUCAUCCUCAUAUUAAUCUUCUUAUUGCUAAGUAUUCAGGAAAAUUGUUGCUAUUUAUACUUUUCUAGUUCAGACACAGGGGCCUUACUCAUAAGGUGACCACUAUAACACUGCCAUUUUAUUCUCUUUGGUAAUUUUAGGACACUUCAAUCUUCCUUAAGACUCCUUGUAUGGGAACUGUGUGUGGAAACUGAUGGAAAUUCUCUUCCUCACUGCUAUGAUGAGGGGAAGUUUGGCUCUCCGGGAUGUUGCUUGCCUGAACAUUAGUGAAGACUCAGAAGGAUGGCUAGAGAACAUCAGUCUGAAUAGUAGGUUAGAGAGUCAUGGUAUGUGGGAUCAGUGUAUUCCCUUGUCUACUGUGCCCACAUCUUAUUACUCUAAUCAUAGGUCUAUAUUUUUGUAAAGUCUUCCUAAAAUGUUGUGAACUCUCUUUGUAGAAUGUCACAUAGCAUAACCCUUUUUAGCUACUAAAAAUUGGUAGAUUCUCAAGCUUAUGGAAUUUGAAUGUUGUAAUCAAUGUUUAGAAAAAUUUUCUUUUUCUCUUUUUUAUUAAUUUUUUAAUUUGUAUACCAACCAAAGUUUCUCCUCUGUCCUCUCCUCCCAUUCCCCUGCCCAUCUCUUUCUACCAUGCCCCAUCCAUUCCUCAGAAAGGGUAAGGCCUCCCAUGGGAGUCAAAAAAAGCACGACAUAUCAAGUUGAGGCAGGAUGAAGCUCCUCCCCUCUGCAUCAAGGCUGAGCUACAUAAGGAGUAGGUUCCAAAAAGCCAGCUCAAGCACCAGGAACAGAUCCUUUCCCAACAGACAAAGAUACACAACUGUCACCCACAUGCAGAGGACCUAGUUCAGUCCUAUGUAGUCUCCCUAGCUGACAGUCUAGAGUAUAUGAGCUCCCACAAGCUCAGGAUAGCUGACUCUGUGGGUUUCCUCAUCAUAACCUUGACUCCCCCUUGCUUUUAUAAUCCAUCCCUCUCUUCAACUGGACUCCUGGACCUCUGCCCAGUGCUUGGCUGAGGAUUUCUGCAUCUGCUUCCAUUAGUUACUAAUGAAGGUUCUAUGGUGACUGUUAGGGUAGUCACCAAUCUCAUUAUAGGAGAAGUCCAGUUCAGGCACCCUCCCUACUAUUGCCAGGAAUCUUAGCUGGAAUGGAUCAUCUUUGUGGAUUCCUGGGAGUUUCCCUGGCACAAGGUUUCUCCAUAACCCCAUAAUGAGCCCCUCUAUCAAGAUAUGUCUUUCCUUGCUCUCCCUCUCUGUCCCUCCCCGAACUUGACCAUCCCAGCCCCUGAUAUUCUCCCAUCCCCUCUUCUCUACCCACCUAGCCCCCAGUUUACCCAGGAGAUUUCAUCUAUUUCCAUUUCCCAGGGUGAUUCAUGUGUCGGUGUCAGGGUCCUCCUUAUACCUAGCUUCUCUGGGGCUGUGGAUUGUAGGCUGCUUAUCCUUUGCUUUACAUCUAAUAUCCACUUAUUAGUGAAUGCAUAGAGUGUUUGUCUUUCUGGGUCUGGGUUAACUCAUUAGGAUGAUUAUUUCUAGUUCUGUCCAUUUGCCUGCAAAUUUAUUAAUGUCAUUGUUUUUUACUCAUGAGUAAUACUCCUUUGUGUAAAUGUACCACAUUUUCCUCAUCCAUUCUUCAGUUGAGGGUCAUCUAGGCUGUUUCGAGGUUCUGGCGAUUACAGAGAAUCCUGCUUUGAACAUAGCUGAGCAAGAAUCCUUGUGGUGUGAUUUAGCAUCCUUUGGAUAUCUGCCCAAGAGCAGCAUCUAUGGGUCUUGAGGGCAAUUGAUUCCCAGUUUUCCGAGAAAUCACCAUACUGAUUUCCCAAGUGGCUGUACAAGUUUUCAGUCCCACAAGCAAUGAAGGAGUGUUCCCCUUAGUCCACAUCCUCUCCAAUAUAAGCUGUCAUUAGUGUUUUUGAUUCUAGCCAUUCUGACAGGUGUAAGAUGGUAUUUCUGAGUUGUUUUGAUUUGUAAUUCCCUGUUGACUAAGGAUGUUGAGAAAUUUCUUAAAUGUCUUUUGGCCAAUUGAGAUUCCUCUGUUGAGAAUUUUAUUUUUAGAUAUGUUCUCCUUUUUUUAAUUGGAUAAUUUGAUGUUUUGAAGUCGAGUCUUUAAUUGAUUUUGGAUAUCAGCCCUCUGUCAGAUAUGGGGUUGCUGAAGAUCUUUUCCCAUCCUGUCGGCUGCCAUUUUGUUUUAUUUCCCAUGUCCCUUGCCUUACAGAAGUUUCUCAGUUUUAGGAGGUCCCAUUUAUUAAUUAUUGAUCUCAUUGUCUGUGCUACUGGUGUUACAUAAAGAAGUGGUCUCCUGUGCCAGUGAGUUCAAGGCUACUUCCCACUUCUUUUCUAUUAGGUUCAGUGUAAGGGCAUUUAUGGUGAGGUCUUUGAUCCACUAGGACUUGCAUUUUGUACAUGAUUAUAGAUAUGGAUCUAUUAGCAUUCUUCUACAUGUCAACAACUAAUUAUGCCAGCAGCAUUUGUUGAAGAUGCCUUAUUGUUUUCAUUGUACAAUUUUGGCUUCUUUUUCAAAAAUGAGGUGUUCAUAGCUACGUGGAUUUAAGAAAAUGGUUCUUUCAUUCAUCCAUAAUGGCUUUUGUAAACUUCUUUCAUACUCAGUUAAUGAAUCACUUAAGUCUUAAAUUUUAAGGUAACCUGACUUGGUAAUUGCAAGUACAGAUUUUCCAGUGUAUUGUUUUAACAGAAUCGUGACCAUUCCUAAUAUGAUUCCAUGUGAUGUGUCUGGUAGAACGUUUUUGAAAAUAUUGAUCUGAUGGAGGCUGUUAACAAACACACUGUUAAAGAACAUUGUAGGAGAUGAGUUACAAUGGAGGCAUAAGUGAACCCUUCUGUCCCAUAGAUAGGAGACUAAUGAACACAUACCUCUAUGUGCCUCAUCUUCCAAUAGGAUUACUCUAUUGCCAAAGAUCAGCAAGGACAAACACUGGGAUUUAUAUGAAAGGUUGUUUCCUCAGCAUGGAUGGGUAAGGAAGGAAAUAUCAGGAGUUAUUUAUGAUAUUAUAUUUUCAGGGACUAAUAAAAAUUCUUAAAUUGAUUAAAAAAUUUAUUUAAGUUAUUGGCAUAUUAUCAUUAUAAGUAUUACAUAGUAAUAAUCUGUAAGAUUCUAUCUGUGCAACAAAGAAGUUGGGUCACUGAUUUGUACAAGUGGUCUCCAUGACUGAAUGUGUAAGGUCAAUAGGUCCCAAAGUGAUGUGUUCUAGAGUACUUAGGUCCUGGUCCUUUUCUGAAGUUUUUUUUUUUUAAACAAAAAAAAAACAACCAAAGCAAACAAAAAUUCAUUUCAUUGAUGGCUACCAUAAUUGAUCUUUUUUGGAAGUUUAAGGACAAUAUAUUGUGAAAUCAAUCCUGUAAAAAGAAGGAUCAACACAUUAAGUAAAAGACAAGUAGGGAGUUUAGCCACUCCCCUUUGUACACCCAUGAAGACAGUGGUAUUGGAAGCACACAUGCUUGCAUAAAUCAGAAAUAUACACUAAAUUAGGUAGUGGUCUAUCUUGUUUGGAGUACAAAGAAUGGUACUUAGCACUUGGCUUAUAGAACAAAUAUACAUGUGGUAAGGAUACCCUGGACUAUCAGGUCAUGAACACAUAAAAAGAAAGAAGUUAUUGUACCUACCUCUAUUUUGCUGUUCACAUUUUUGCUUCAGAUAUUAGGAUCUUUUCCAUAAUGCUUCUUUUACUUAUAGCAAGAAAAACAGCCUCCUUUUAUUUGAAUGUGGUUUCCACUCUUUAUUUUUGUAGUAAACAAAAGAAGUCUAGAGAAAAAGAACCAGCAUCCCAGGAAACAUGCUAUAUUUGGAAUCUUUAUAGUAGAUUUUAAUCCACUUGCCAACUAGUCUAUAAGACUGAAACAUUAUUUCUUUAGGAUUUUCUCACAAGCUAAAGUAAUUAAUUUUACAUUGUGAUUUCCAGAAAAGAAAUGUUUCAUCACCCUUAGAGGAUAAUGGAAGUAAAUUCCUCCAGAUUCACAUGCUAUAUUAGACAUUUAUAGUCACAAAGUAAUAUAAUUUCUAAUUCUCAUUUUUAUGUUGGUUUUCUUGGUGUCUUUAACAUACCACUGGGUCCUCAAUGUGUUUACAGAUAGGAACACAUUAUAAUGAGUGUUGUGUUAGGUGUGAUGAGGAAAUUCUGAAACUGAUAUUUUAGGAACAGUUUCCAAACUACUCUAUUUCAGCAAAUUAACUGGUCAUCUUGUUCAGAUUACCCAGAAAGUACCCAGUAAAUCCCCCAAAAUAACUUUUUAUUAAGUAUUCCAGUGGGGAAGUUUAGCACCCCAGCUCACAACCCUUCCCUGAGCUUUUAUAGAUGAAAUGAUGUUGUUAAGAAGGGGCAUGCUACUGGUUGGAAAUAUUACCCUAAAGCUCAAAAGUAGCAAGGUUUGUGGUGAAAGUAGUUACAGAAGAUUUGUUUCUUUCUCCAUUUAGAGUCAAUAAUUUCAUUGUCUUAUACAAUACCUUAACUUCAAUGUUUGAUUAAAAAAUGUCUGUAUAGUUCCUUUGAAGGAAAUAGUUAUGUAUCUUCUUCUAAAAAUUAUAAAUAAAUUUAUGAACUUAUCUGGCCAGGGUUUCCACCCAUAUAUGUUUUGGUAAGAAUUUCCAGGACCAAAUAUCUUAUAUUUGAUAUAUAAUUGCGUAUUUACAGUAAUGUGCUAUUACUCUAGCCCUUAAUAAUUUCUUUUUCUUUUUUGGUUUUUCUAGACAGGGUUUCUCUGUAUAGCUUUGGAGCCUAUUCUGGCACUCGCUCUGGAGACCAGGCUGGCCUCGAACUCACAGAGAUCCACCUGCCUCUGCCUCCCAAGUGCUGGGAUUAAAGGUGUGCGCCACCAACGCCCAGCCUAAUUUCAAAACUCUGUUCAACAGGAAGCAUUAUGAAAUUCAACUGUCAAAGAAUUAUUUAUGGUAACUUUGCAAGCUGCUUUUCUUUUGGUAAUAAACCAAAUAAGUAGAAAUAUGGCAAUUGUCUUAUUGCUUGAUUUUUACUUCUUUCCUUCUUCGUGUCUGUAAUUUCUUUCUCAAAUACAUACAUAUGAAGUUUAACAGACAGACUUCUGUAAUACUCUGACAUAAUCUCAAUGCUCUGUUCUUGUGAGUAUAGAUGUAAACACUUAAACUAAGGUCCUUUGUAACAAUAACUCUUUCCACCAGCUGCCCGCUUCAGGGCCCCCAAAUAACACACAGAGUCUUAUAUUAGUUACAGUGCUGCUGUCCAAUGACUAGGAUUUCUAAUAUGCUAGCUCAGUCUUAAUUAUCAACCAUAACUACUAAUGUAUAUAUUUUAUAAAGACUUAUCUUACCUAGGAUGCCAGUGGCAUGCAUCCUCUCUUCCUGGGAUCACAUGGCGACUCCGUCCCUUUCCUACAUUCCCCAGAAUCCUCCUUCUCUCCUACUCCCACCUAACUUGCUUCCCUAUUGGCCAACAGUGCUUUAUUUCUCAACCAAUAAGAGAGACAUAUACACAGAAGGACUUCCCCCAUCAGUCCUCCAGCAAAGUUCCCCUUGCUCUAGAAUUACUGCCUUGGUUGCUCCACCAUAAUACAACCCCCUCCAGUUGUCUUAAGCUUAUAAACUGUUUAUUAACUCUUACUUUGGAUAGAUAAUUCAUUCAAACAUAAACCAAUAUGUAGGAUUGUGAUUAUUCUUGAAACAUUUUAAAAAUAGAUGAGACUUGAGCUCUUAAGCUUAUUUUGAUAUUAUAAGAAAACAGUGCAAGGGAUUCAGUUCUAUGUCUCUACAUUUACAUACCAGAACACCUUUGGAAAUUAAUAGUGUGCUAUGAAAACUCAGAAUCUUCACAGGUAAUUCUAGACCAAGUCUUUCUUGGCCUAAGGAUUUAGAUGAAAAUACAUAAAUACAAUGCAGAUUUGCGACAAAGUAUAUAGCAGAUAACUUUGGACAGCAAAUUUAUAUGUGAUACAUGUAUUUGUUUACUGUAAUUAGUAGUUUUUGACAAUUUCAAUAAUGUAUAUAAUACAUUAUGGUCACACUCAACCUUCUCUAAUCUCUUAUCCACCUCCUCAAAAUCUCCUCUGCCAAGAAGUCCCCCCUCAUUAUUAUGCCUUUUUAAUUUUGGUUUUCUUUUAUGACCCACUAAAUUUUAACCAGGGCUGUGUGUAUGACCAUGAAUGUAGAGCUAUCCAAUGGAGCAUGGAUGACUCACUAGUUGUUCCAGCACUGAAGAUAUAACAACCUUUCCCAGAAGCCAUCUACUAUUAAUACUUCCCCAGGGAGAUGCCAGACUUCAUGAGCCUCUCAUCUAUCCAUGACUGAAUGUCUUCUGCAGGUUCUGCAUAGAAGAUGACCCAGUCCAGUAAUCUCUUCAGGUAAUAUCUGAAAGAAGACUCCUCAGAUCAAGAUCUCUUCAACAUAUAUUAUCCAAAAGUCAUACUUUGAAGAUGAUACCAACAGUGAUGAGUUGGAAACAUUAUAUAGAUGGUGCCAUCUCUCCUACCAGCAGAUUCACCCAGACAGUCUUCAUUAUACAAGCUGAUGCCUCUUUCCUGUGUAGCAGCAGAUACCACCUGCAGAUAAGAAAUGCUUAACUGAGAAAUGCUCAUGUUGGGAUAUCAUCGAUGAAACUUUAUUUUGGGCAUGGUGACUGUUUCCCUUGCUGCCACUUGACUCAAUCCCAGGAGACUCAGUAGAGAAAAUAAUAUUGCACAAGAAGCUCAAAAUGAUGGAAGUAUUUAGUGCUCCUAUAAAUAUACACUGCUAAUUUAAAAAAUAUGACAUAUUAAAAAGGAACUGCAUGAUUUUUUUUACAAAAUCUCAAAGUAUACCUAUAUGAUUAAUAUAUAAAUUAUGGGCCUCCUCUCUUUCAAGAGAGUUGAAAUUUUCCUAGAGUUUCCCCUAUUAAGGGAGGAGUAUAAAUGCUCUUAAGCAGAUAAAUUUAUACAAAAAUAUACAUACUUUCUGGGGGGAAUUCUAGAGUGGGACCAUAUUCUUACACAAAUUGCUACUUUUGUUUGAGUCUUUUUGAUGAGCCUUUUCUAUUUCAGUUCUACAUUAAUAUCUAUGUCAUUUUUUAAAUGACUACAUGACUGCUUUGUAGAUGAAAUAGAAUUACAUGUUUUAAGCAUUGCUCAUUCAUAGACAUUUAUAUAGGUGCCAAAUUUCUGUGUAAUGAACUUGCAUAUAUAUAUUUCCAUAUACAUAUAUAUGUGUCACCCUUAUUAUACAAAAUUACCUAGUACUUAAAUUAUUAAAAUUAAGUAUAUUAACACUUCAAAAAAUUUAAAUUAUCACAAUUGCUUUUAAAUGUGCUUUAAUAGCUUUCUCCUCAAUGGCAAUGACUUACAUUACCAUCUUCACAAUCCACAUAUAAUGGGUUUUAUAAACAUAUGAGAUCUUUUCCAAUGUGUUAGUCCAAAUUAUUGUCUUAAAUUGUAUUUAUUUUUAUUUUUGAGUUUGAUCAUUUCAUGUUUAUUAGCCAUCUGUAUUUUUUUUAAUUUCUCCUUUAUGUCAAAGUUUGAGAGUAUGUGGAGGUUUUAGUCUCUUUCAAAGAUCAUAUUUAUAAUUGGGGAAAAAUGAGAUUUUGGAUUGUCAAACAUUACAUGUUUUUCACACUUUUGAACUUUGUUUUGUUAUAAGAAUGUGUAUUAUUGUUACAUGUCCAACUAUAACCAUGUUUGCUUUUAUGGCUUCUGAGUUUCAUGUCAUUUUUGAAAAAAUAUUCUGAGCCCAUAUAGCCCCUCUCCUUUGUUAAACCUAAUUCUUUUGUGUUUUAAAAUUCAAAUUCUUAUGUCAUGAAAAGAAUUUUGUUUUGAAAUCUUGAAGUUGCCAAGUUAUUUGCCAUUACUUAUGAUUAUUUGCCAACAACUGCCCAUUUAUCUGUAAUGCCAUCUUGCACAUGUGCUGUAUUCUCAUCUGUGAAUGGCUCCAUUUUUGUUGUGUGGAUAUGUGUGUCUCUUCUUCUGCCUCCUGUCUCAUGUGUCUUCUUGUUGGAAGAAAUUACAGUUUAGACUGCAAUUUCAUCAACUUUAAUAAAUUAAUUUUGGGAAACUGUUUUUAAAUAAUAUUGUCUUCAUAAUUAAGGACAAGGUAUAUAUGUUUUAUUAAACAUUUGAUUACUAUUGAUAUUUUCACUGAGAUGUUGGGUUUUUCUUUUCUUUUAUUUGCUUGUUCAUUUUUUAUGUAUCUGAAAGUUUUCUGUUUUGUUUUGUUUUGUUUUUUAAGAUUUUGUUUUGUUUGGGGAGGUUAAAUGGCCAUUGUUUCCAGAAUGUACCCAAAAUUCUUUGCAAAUAUUGAUUUUCCUCCUUCCAAUUGAUACUGAUUUUGGUUAUUUUGAUAAAAGUCCACAGAGUUGUACUUUCAGAGCACUUAAAAAUUGUGAAAAUAUUGCUCACACGUGAUUUAAAUGAUAGUAAACAGAAUGCUUCUUAGGUUGAAUAGCACAUUGCUGCUGGUCUAUGUUUCCAAAAGACCACCUGAAAGAGCUAUGAUCAAGCAAAGUUGAGUUUAUUAAACUUACCGCAGCAAGGGAAAACACCACCUUUACAGGGUUUAGUAGCUGUUUAAAGGCAAAAAGGAAGGGCUUUUUGGAUCUGGGUCUCUGUGGUUUAAUCGAAGACAUGAUUAUGACUGGGCACAGUUUGGCAUGCAAUACUUUAAAAUGGAUGGGGGUGUGGUGAAGGUCUUCAUGUGCUUUUUGAUAAUCAGACUGUUAUCUAGGGGAGCUGUUUGUCUUAAGAUAUUAAUAAUGACAGAAGAACUAUUGCCUGAAUGAUCAAAUAGAAUUUAUCAGUUUAUAAUUUUGCCUUGCUAAGCAGGACUUACUAGUGAUGGUAUCAGGUCUUAUUCCCAAAAGGUAAGUUAUUUUUAAUGUGAAUGGUUGUAAGUAUCAAUGUGAGAUUAUAACUUUUAACUUUUGAGAUAUUUGGUGUAUUCUGUUGGAAAAGCCUUCCUUCCACUUUUUAUAUUUUUCUAAAGAAUUUGAAUCAAACCCAUAUGGAAGAUGUAAUAUCUGCUUUUUGCCCAAAUACUUAACACUAUUAUUUGAAUUAUUAAUAGCUGAACAUCAUUUCUUUUUCAAUUAUUAUGAAUCCUUUUACGCCCUGAGUGAGCAUAGUUUUAUUUUGCUUAAUUCAUUUAUUUACUGCUGAGCUGUAGGCAUUUAAAUUUGAUUUGGAAAUUUUGAGAUUAUAUGAUGGUAUGAAAUCACUUUUCCAUUGACUUUCUUUUCUGCUUCUUUUCUACCUUAGUGUUAGCAUUUCUGAUUAUAUUUCAGCCAUGUAGAGAAUUUUUUUCUGUAUGGUACCAUGGUUACUUGAUCACAUCAGUGGAAUCAGUAGCUGUGCUUUGGUGGUUCAUGUAAAUAAGGCUAUCUGGUUUUGCUCACACUUUACAGUAUUGUUUGUUUCAUAGCUGGUAUCUUAUGUUUAACAUUCUUUCUCGUGGAGAAUCAAAGUACACACAGAUUUUCUAUCGCACUGCUUAAACUGUGCCUUUUAAAAUGAACAAGUUACAAAAGUGAGUCUAGAAAUGCCAGUUUUUCCCUUUCACAAUCAAGACUUUAGCUUUUCGUGUUUUAAAAAUUGUGUCAAUUUACAUAUAUUUAUGUUCUUUCCCUGUGUGUUUUGCCUCUUUUAGUAACAAAUGCUUAAACACUUGUAAACUAUUGAUUUCCAUUUGUUCUUGGUAAACAAAGAUAUGCUCUCAUAUGUACUCUCUUAGAUCAUAAACAGGGAGCCUGAGAGGAAAGGACAGUGAAGUUGUGUAUACUGGGUCAAUAGCUCAUGGCUGCAACAUUAUUAAUCUUUGAUGAUGUUCUUCAUGUUAUUUAAAAAUUAUUUUUAAAUGAGAGGCUGAGUAGGUGGUUUCAUUGUUGAGGACUUGAGUUCAAACCUCAGAACCCAUGUUUAAAAAUCUGGAUGUGGUGAUGCAUCCUUAUUGAUAGAAAUCAUAGAAAGGUUGAUCCCUGAGGCUCACUAGGAAUCAGCCCUUAUUAAUUAGUUGGCUCCAGACCAAUAAGAGACCUUGUCCCAAAGCAAGCAAACAAGCAUCAACAAAAAAAAUCCUACAAACAUACUAAAGUGGAGAGUGCUAAGGAAUAAUACCCAUAGUUGUUGUUCUGGCUCCACACUCUUCCUCUCCUCCCUCACCAUACACAAAUAUGCCUAGGAACUCAAAUACACUCACAAAAUCCUUUUUAAACCAGUCAGGUAAAUUUUAACAGUUUUUCCCCAGACAUUAUAAAGUGUAUUUACUUAUUCACUUGUUCAUUUAUUUUGGAGGAGGCACAUAUACUUGCCAUAGUUCACAUGUGUAGACAAAAGGGCACUUGGAGUCUGUUCUCUCCUUCUGUCUAGGUUCCAGGGAUUGAGUGCAAGCCAUCAGGUUUAGCAGCACACACAUUUAGUUGCUGAGCCAACUCACUGGCCCUUUUAAAUGUUAAGUGACCGUGUGUAUUACAAAAUUCAUAGUUUACAAAAGUGAAUUCAAAUAAAUCUAAUUCUUCAUUUUAGCAUCUGUGUCCAUGCAGUUUCUUCAUCUCCAUAAAGACAGUGUUAGUACAUCAUUCUCUUUGUCUCUGCAUUCCUCUCAUUCACAUCCCUGCAUAUACACCCUCGACUAUUCAAAAUAUAUGCACGUAAAUACAACAGAUACUUUCUAUUAAUAUAUGGCUUUAUUGUGUAUACUAAAGCCAUGUUAUCAAUGUGUUAGUAUUGUUUUCUCAAGGCAGGGUUUCUCUGUAUAUUCCUGGCUAUCCUGGAACUCACUCUGUAGAUCAGGCUGGCCACAAACUCACAGAGAUCCACCUACUGAGUGCUGAGAUGGAAGGUGUGUGCCACCACCACCUGGCUAGGGGCUUCUUAUCAUAUUUAAUAGUUUAUGUCUUUUCAUAGAUAAAAUCUACAUAUUUAAGUGCAUAUAGUUUUAUUAGUUCCUUGAGAAUUUUAUGUAAAGUAUUUUGAAUAUAUUUAUACCCUCUUCCAACUCCUUCCAUACCCACCCCUAUUUUCUUAUACACUCAAUUUUGUGGUCUUAAAAUAUUACCUCUGUCUUAGUUACUGUUCUAUUGUCAUGCACCAUGACCAAGUCAUCGCUUACAAAAGAAAGCAUUUAAUUUGGGGCUUGCUUAAGUUUCAGAGGUUUAGUCCAGUAUCAUCAUGGCAGGAAGCAUGGCAGAAUGCAGGCAGGUGCCAGAGCAGUAGCUGAGCGCUAUAUCCUGAUCUGUAGGCAGAGGCAGAGCAAAAGGGAAUGGGCCUGGCCUAGGCUUUUGAAACCUUAAAGAAGCACCCCCAGCAACAAACUUGCUCCAACAAGGCCAUACCUCCUAAUCCUUUCCAUAAUGCCACUCUUUGGUGACUAAGCAUUAAAAUAUAUGAACUUAUAGGGCCAUUCUUAUUUACAUUCCACUCUCUGGCCCCCAUAGAUGUAUGAUAAUACAUCUUAAAUACAUAUCAUACAUAAAUACAUAAAAUAUCAUACAUAGAUGUAUGAUAAUACAUACCUUAAAGAUGUAUCAUAAUACAAAAUGCAUUUACUCCAACUUUAAAUGUUCCCAUAGUCUUUCACAUUUGUAUCAUGGUUUGAGAAUUAGAAGUUUAAAGUCGUUUUUUAAGACUCAUGGCAUUAACUUAAUUGUGACCCCCUAUAAAAUCAAAAUACAAAAGCAAAUCACCUACUUCCAGCAUACAGCAGUGCAGAAUAUAUGUUAUCACUCCAAAGAGGAGGAAACAGAGCAUAGUGAGAAAAUGGUAGCCCAAAGCAAGUGCAAAAGCCAGCAAACUACAAAUCGUGUAUCUCCAUGUUUGAUGGCAAAGUCCUCUUCAGACCUCCAACUACUUUCAGGUUUGUUGACUGCACACUUACUUCACUGGUUCCACACAAUGCUCCUUGGCAGGUAUCCCAUGACUCUGGUAUCUCCAAAAUAUUUAGUUCUUCUACACAAUGCAGGCUUCACCCUCACAAUUUUAUGCAAUGGCCUCUUUGAUCCUCCAUGCAGCGACACCCCUGUCAAACACCUGGCCUUAGUGGCUUUCCUUACCCAGAGAGGAGAUUCCACAAGCCCUUUCUAAUAUUCUUGACUUUAAAUCCACACCAUGUGAGCAAAUCUUCCAAGUUCUGCUGAUUGCUGGGGGUAGAACAUCCCCGCCACCUUUCAGUUACAUCUGCAUUUGUUUUCUGUUUUUAAUGAUUUCCUUCACUGCUUAAGCUUUUUUUAAAAGUUCUUUUUCACAAGUAGGAAGCAUAACUGGGUAGGUUCUUGCUUUCAGGUCAGCAUUCCUUUUAUUCCAUUUCCUAGAGAAUAGGCUUACCUCCACUAUGGUUCCUGGUAUUCCUUUUCUCCUCAAACAGUACAUUUUGUAUUUUCCCUUAUUCAGCUUUCUUCUUUUCGUUAUAUAUCCACACAAGAAUGGCCACUAAUAACCAUAUGGCACAGUCAAAACUAGGCUGUCUCGAAAUCUUCUCUUCAAAUGGUUUUAAUGCAUAAACUCUUCAAUUUAGCCUCAGGCAGAUUUUCAGGACAAGGGCCAAAACCCAGCCACAUUCUUGGCCAAAAUAUCACAAGUGUGGUCUCUUAGGACACUUAACUUUAAUAUUCUUCCCCUCUGAAACUCCUUGGAUUGGGCCCCCACUGUUCAAAAUGCCCUGAGAACUGCCUUACAUGCUCCUGCUAGGAUGGCUCAUUAAGCCUUCUUAAAGUGUCCAGUGAUUUUUCAGGUUCAAAGUUACAAAGUCUUCCACAUUCUUCCAAAAAACAGUAUGGUCAGACCUGUCAAAAGCAAUACCCCAGUCCCUGGUAUCAACUUCUGUCUUAAUCAUUGUGGAGAAACACCAUGGCAUGUGGAACUUGCUUAUAGUUUCAGAGGCUUAAUCUAUUAUCUUCUCAGCAGAGAACAUGAUGACAGGCAACCAGGUACUGUGAAGUAGCUAAGAGUAACAUCUUUAUAUUUAGGCUAAGAGGCUGUGUGAGAGAGAGUGGGCCGUGCAUGGGCUUUUAAACAACAAAGCACAUGCCCAGGGACACACUUCCUCCAAUAAGGUCAUAGCUUCUAAACCUUCUUGAAUAGUGCCAUUCCCUGGUGCCUAAGCAUAUAUAUAUAUGCCUACAGAGUCAUUAUUCAUCAAUUACAACCUCAUUGUUGGGAUAAAAUAUUUUAUUAUUAUAUCCACGAGUAUAGCUUAAUUUUGCCUGUUUUUCAAUUAACACCACUAAAAUCACAAUGUGUAUCUGGCUUCUUGCAUUCAUCAUAGAGAUAUUAACAUUCUUUUGGGCAGUUCUGCAUAUCAGAUUUUAAAAUACAUUCUUAAUAAUUGUAAUGUACUCUUUUGAAAGGACAUUUUAUAACUUUUUAAAUCCAGUCUCCUACUGAUAGAUCUCUGAGUAGUUUCUAGGUUUCAGAUGUUUUAAUGUUAACAUGUCUCUGAUAUAAUUCUCUAAAAGGGGGAAUUUCUUUAUAAUGUAGAAUUUUACAAGAAAUUGUCAAAGAAUCUUCUAAAACUUUUUUUCCCAAUCAAUGAUUUAUGAAACUUCUACAAUUCAUUGUCAGUAACAGGGGAAACUUGUCAGUCCUUUAAACUUUUGUUUGUUUAUUUUUUUUAUUUUUUUUAUUUUUUUUGGUUUUUCGAGACCGGGUUUCUCUGUGUAGCUUUGGAGCCUAUCCUGGCACUUGCUCUGGAGACCAGGCUGGCCUUGAACUUGCAAAGAUUCGCCUGCCUCUGCCUCCCAAGUGCUGGGAUUAAAGGCGUGUGCCACCAAUGCUUGGCCUUGUUUGCUUAUUUUUAUGCAUAACUUUUUCAUUUAAAAUUUUAGUAAGCUUUUUUUAAAUAUUUAAGACAGGACCACUGGAUCUACCUCACUCUGACCCCACACUUCUCCCCUUCCAGCUGUUCCCCCUUCCUAAAUCUAUGUAGAAAUUUGUUGCUGGAGGAAAUUGCUCUCUCUCUCUCUCUCUCUCUCUCUCUCUCUCUCUCUCUCUCUCUCUCUCUCUCUCUCUCUCAGCAGCCAUUGAUAUCCUGUAUCUCUUUACUUGAGAUUGGGACUAUAUGGAAUUUCCCCUGUCCUCACCAACAUGCCAGGUGGUGUUGGUGUUGUCAUUACAGUGUUCUUGUUCUGGCAACCAUCUUAAUAAGAAUUCAUAAAUGUGUUUCCUUAUUGGAUCUAGGGGAUGCUAUCUAUCCACAGACAUCCAGGGUCACUAACUGUUGCAAACUUUCUGCUCAUUAAGACAGGGUCUCACUAUGCAGCUCAGGUACAGUUGUUCAUGACUGAAUCAGUGCAUCCAAGGAGGCAGAGGCAUGCGGAUCUCUAGUCAAUCCAAGUUAAUAAUGUCCAUAUGAGUGUCAGGCAGUAUUUUAUUAUGACUUUAAAGUAAAUUUUAAUUACUUAAUUAUAUAACUUUUUAUGAAAUUAUCUAGUUGAGAAUCAAUGUAAUAUCUAUAAUUACAGACUCAUGGGGAACUUAUAAAAAUAACACUUUCCAUACAUUUUACUUACAAAAUUUUAUUCUUUGAAGAUUGUGUACGUUUAUAUAAUGUAUUUUGAUCAUAUAAAUUCACUACUACCUCCCUCCAACUACCUCUAAUUUCUCUACUACGUCUGCCUCCCAAGUUCACAUCUUGUUUUUUAAAUGUAUUAAUAAACCCUGAGUCCAGUUCCCACUGUCCAUAUGCACAUGAAUGUGGGACCUUUCACUGUGGCAUGAGAAAUCUACUGGUGGCCAAAUACCCAAAGAAUAGGACUCUUUGUCCUUCAGCAGCCACCAGCUCUCAAUGGUCCUCGGCCAGGAUUGAGGACUCAGAGAACCUUCACUGUACAUGCUAGGCUUUUAACUGGCUUGUUCUCAUGCAGGAAACUACCAAUGCUGUGUGUGCAAUAGCAAUGUCAUGUCUAGAACUCAGCAUUUCAUAGAUUUCCCCUCUCCAUUUGCUGGUUAUUAUUCUUUCUGUUCAGUCUUUCAUCAAAAUUGGGGAAGCUAUUGUAAAUCAUGCAUCCACAGCUGAGUAUGUGCAGAUUCUCAUACGUGGUACUUUGACCAGUUAUGAGUUUCUGCACUAAUUAUCUACUAUUGUAAAAGGACUUUUUGUAACACAAACUUAAAUCAAAAAAUGUGUGGGGAAAACAUAAAUAUUAGAAGGUAGUUUGAUAGCAUGGCCACUUAGUAAAACAAUAGCAAUAGAUUUCCCACUUGGGUAUAUGAGUUACUUGGUUAUGAGCUUAAAAAUAGAUUGCAUAUAUAUAUGGGGGGUUAGGGAGUUAUGUGCAUGUCAGGGGUUUCUCUAAGAAACAGAACUGAUGGAAUGAACACAUAUAUACAUAAUAUGCAAAUAUACAAUAUACUAUAAUAAGUACAAUAUAAUAAGUAAAAUAUAUUUUAUAUAUAUUACAAAAAAUUAUUAGAAUGGCCUAUGGGCUGUGGUCUGUGUAGGAAAACAAUUUCUGUCUCCUGACAGAAAAGCCAAGGAUCCAGUUGUUCAGUCACUAUCCAAUCAGAAAGCAAUUGAUUGUCCCUGUAAUUGUCAUACCACAAUUGCACUAGUCAGCAGGCACAUGGGACCAAGAAGGCCAGUAUUGUAGCAAUGAAGGAUAAGUCCACUAAUUCCUUUCCUGCCCAGUCAGCUUGUGUUAUAUCUUCUGGCACCAUAUAAACUGACAGUAGUGUGUUUCCCUGGUUCACUUUGAUAAUGACUUCUUUAUGCUCUGCAUCCAAAGUGAGUGGCAUCUUUGACAAUAGGGUCUAACCAUGUGGUAUGUUGAAAAACAAAGAGCAAUGGCAAUAUCCUGCAUUAUUUUGAAUGCAUCUGGGGCCUCCCUAACUAAUAGGUCAUAGAGAACUAUCCUUUGCCUGGUACUGAGAUUUAUAUUUAAUAAUCUGUGCCCUGUGGGGAGACCAUUGUCCACCUACAUAGUAAACUUCUGUUUAAAAUUAUUUUAUUAUUAUUGCGUACAUAUGAGUGUGUGAAUAUAUGUAUAUGUGUGUUUGGUUUAUGUAUAUCUGUGUACAUGGGCCAUGACACAUGCAUGUAGGUCAGAGAACAACUUCAGAAGGUUAGUUCUCUUCCUCAAGUUUUAGAUAGGUUCUAGAGAUUAAAUUCAGUUUGUCAAGACAAUUCAAGAAGUGACCAGGUGAGUUAUUUUAUUGUACCCCCGCCCUCUUAUAUUUUUCAUUCAGCUGUUUUAUACUAGCAUACUAUAUAAUCUCUUUUUUUUGUUUUUUGAGACAGAGUUUCUCUGUAGCUUUGGAGGCUGACCUGGAGCUAGCUCUUGUAGACCAGGCUGGUCUCGAACUCACAGAGAUCCACCUACGUCUGCCUCCUGAGUCUGGGAUUAAAGGCGUGCGCCACCACCACCCGGCAAUAAACUCUUAUAAUACUAUUUUACGUGUGAUGGUUAUUAAAUUCAGGAAAUUAUGAUUAAUAUAAUGUAUUAUCUAUUAGGCAGGGUGGUAUCUUAAGUGACCAUGAGUUCUUGCAUUCAUGAGGAGGAUCGUGGGAGAACAUCAGGGUGGAGCAGCACAGAGAGUCAAAGAUCAGGAGGGCUGGGAGAUUCUUGGUCCAAAGGUUCUCUGAGAAGUCCAUCAAGGCCCUGCUCCACUGCUAUGCAUUCUUCUGACCUUGCCUCUGUACCCUUCCUUACCUAUUAGACCUGCCAGUAGUAAUGCUGCAGAGACAGAUUCCCAUGAUACUGGUCCUCUUCAUGACAGUCUAUCCCUGAUUGUUGCAGGAGAGAAUCACAAAAGAGACAAAAAGAUUUUCAUGGACAAACAUUGAUUGAAAAGAUAGCAAAGAAGUUACUUUUCAGUGGACAAAGCUUCCAGGGACUAUCUUAAACAAGUAGCAUAUGUAACACUAGCAUAAAUGAUUUCUACUGAUAACAUGAAGUAGGCACAACCCAGGAGGACUGAGUUGGAGGAGAAAAUUAGGGUUUGGAUAUCAUCAUAUGUCACUGAAAACAUGUAUGAAAGUUUUAAAGAACAUUUGUAAAAAUCUAACACUUUUUAGUAAAUUUAGCUCAUAUUUACUAAAUUUACUCUAUCACUGAUUAAUUUAAAAUAUCAAUUAAAUUUGAUUUCUUGUGGAUUAAUUAUAUUUUAAAACAACUGUGAAUGUGGUUUAUCUAUGAAAAGUUUUGGUUUUGUCUCACAUAAUCUUUUGAGUGUGUGUGUGUGUGUGUGUGUGUGUGUGUGUGUGUGUGUGUGUGUAAUAUGCUAUAGUUUUUUCCAUUAGUUUAAAAUUUAUAGUAUUAUGCUAACAUGUGAUACUUUGCUUAAUUCCUUAACUGAUAUACAUUUUCCCUUUCUUAAAACUAUUUUUAUUUAUAUGUUUAGUCUUUAAAUACUUUUUAUUUAAAUUAAAAACAAUCUUAUUUUACAUACCAAUCCUAGUUCUCUCUCCCUCCUGUCCUCCCAUUCCCCAGACCGACCUCAUGUCCCACCCCCCAUUCAGUCACCAGGUAGAGUGAGGCCUCCCAUAAGGGAUCAUCAAAGUCUGACAUCAUUUGAGGCAGGACCUAGGCCCUCCCCAUGUAUCUAGACUCAGAGAGUAUCCCUCCAUGAGGACUAGACUCCUAAAGCCCAUUUGUGCACUAGGGAUAAAUACUGGUUCCACUGCCAGAGGCCCAUAGACUGCCCAGACCCCCAACUGACAACCACAUUCAGGGGGCCUGGUUCAGUCCUAUGCUGAUUCUCCAGCUGUCAGACUGGGAUCCAUGAAAUUCCACUUGCUCAGGUCAGCUGUUUCUGUGGGGUUCCCCAGCAUGGUUUUGACCCUUUUGCUCAUCAACCCCCCUUCUCUACAACUGGAUUCCUAGAGUUUGGCUCAGUGCUUAGCUGUGGGUCUCUGCUUCUACUUCCAUCAGCUGCUGGAUGAAGGCUCUAGGAUGGCACUUAAGGUAGUCAUCAGUCACAUUAUAGGGGAAAGGCAUCUAAGGUAGCCUCUCCACUAUUGCUUAGAUUCUUAGUUGGGGUCAUCCUGUGGAUCCCUGGACAUUUCCCUAGUGCCAGAUUUCUCUUUAAACCUAUGUCUCCCUCUAUUGUAUCUAUUUUCUUGCUCAAGUUGGGGGAAGAAUAGAGAAGGAUAGCAAGAAAAAAGAGAUACCUAAAUCUAUUUUCAAUAUUUUGUUUUCCAAACAUGUAAAACUAUGCUCCUAAAAGUCACAGGGUAUUACAUGAUAACAUGAUAUUCAAUAACUUCCAACUUUUGGCCCACUUUCAUCUUCCCCAUAGUCACCACUUCCAAACCUGUAAAGAGAUGGGAAUUUAACUGCAUGCACAUCUUUAAACAGCCCACUUACUAUUCCCUUUUUUUCUUCCUAACAUUUCAUUAGUUAUUCAAGAAUUUCAUAUAAUGUGUUUGAUCACGUAAAUCCCCUUCUUUAACUUCUCCCAGAUCCACUACUUUCUCCUUACCCCACGAAUAUUGUGUAUUCAGUUUUCUUGAACUCACUAUUUUAGUUACUUUUGUCUGGUCCUGAAGAGACACCAUGGCCAAUGCAACUUAUAAAAGAAAGAAUUUAAGUGGGGACUUGCUGAUAGUUGUAGGAGCUAAGAUCAUGACAAUCAUGGCAGGGAACAUGGACACAGACAGGGAGGCAUGGGGCAGUAGCCAAAAACUUACUUCAUGAAUCCAAGUCAGAGGCAGGGACAGAGAGAGAAAGAGACAGAGACAGAGACACUGAGAGAAACAUAGGGAGGAGAGAGAGAGAGAGAGAGAGAGAGAGAGAGAGAGAGAGAGAGGAGAGAGAGAGAGAGAGAGAGAGAGAGAGAGAGAGAGAGAGAGAGAGAGAGAGAGAGGAGAGAGAGCACAUUGGCUUUGAAGCCUCGAAGUCCACCCUCGGUGUGAAACACCUCCAACAUGGCCAUACCUUUUUAUCUUCCCACACAAUUGUACCAAGUAGGAACCAAGCAUUCAAAUAUAUAAGCCUUUGUAGUGUAUUCUCAUAUUAACCAUCAAAUUCCACUCCAUGGACCCCAGAGGCUUGUAGCUGUAUCAUAAUAAAAAUGCAUUUAAUCCCUUACAAUUCUCUAUAGUAUUUCACAGUCAACACUAUUUGAAAGCUCAGUCAAUAAUAUUCUUUGAAAGUGCAGCCAUUUCUGAGACUUAAAUCAAUCUUUUAAUUGUAAUCCCCUGUAAAGACAAACAGCAAAUUUUAUGCUUCUAAUAUGUAAUGACAGGGAAUAUAUGUUACCAUUCUAAAAGAAAGGAAUGGGGGCCUAGUGAGAAAAUGCUGAACCAAGCCAAGACUGAAACCCAGCAGGGCAAUCUCUAAAUCCUCUAACUCCAUGUAUAAUAUCAAAGGGUUUAGCUUGUUCCUCAGGUCUCCCGCCCUUUUCAUCGUUAUUGAAUGCCACACACUUCUAUCUUGGGCUGCUUCCACUUUCUGCAUACAGCUCUCCUUAGCAGACAUCCCUUGGCUCUGGUAUUUCCAACAUAUUGGAGGGUGCAUCACAGUCCAAGCUUCACAUUCACAGCUUUGUGCAGUGUUUACUCUGGGCCUGCAUACAGGAACUCUCCUUCCACAAACCAGACCUCAGUAGCUUUCCUUAACUUCAAGGACAUUUCCACAACCCCUUUACUGUUGCAUCCUAGACUAUAAAGUAAAAACAAAAAACAAAAAAACAAGUUGCCGAUUCUGCCAAGUAUUUCCACCUGUGUGGGAUGAAAUCUUGGCCCCUCCUGAAUCACAUUUUGUGUAAGUUUUGAUUUGUUGAUGCUUUUCUUCGUCUAGUAAACUUUACUUUGUUUUAGGAGCAGAAUAUUCCCUAGGCAGUUUUUUUGUUUUGUUUUGUUUUUCACAAACUGAAAGAUCAGCUGAGUGGUGUCUUGCCCUGAGGAUACAAUUUCCUUUAUUUCAUUUCUCCUUAUAUCUUUCAGCCCAAACUAAGGCCCUAACAUCAUAUUCCGUCAACUUUUUUUCCUCCUAAAAUUGUGAAUUUUGUGUUUUAUUUUGGCCCUCCUAUUCUUUUUUAUUAUAUAUAAGCAUGAGAGUGAUCACUAAGAAAUUUGCAACUCAAUCAAUACUAGACUGCCUUGAAAUUGUUUCUCCCAAUAUUAAUCCAAAACUUUUCCGUUUGAGGACCUCAGUGGUCCAUAGCUACACAAACGGUAUCUCAUAUUUGACACUGGGCUUUUUCCUUGUUAAACUCUUGUGUCAAGUAGGGACAUUGCCAGCAAUAUAUAUAUAUAUAUAUAUAUAUAUAUAUAUAUAUAUAUAUAUGUAUAUAUAUAUAUAUUCCAUAAUAGUAGGUCACUAUAUGCCUUUUAAAGAAGUUAUUUAAUAUUAUUUAUCCCUCCCUAUUUCUGUAUUCUCUCCUCUUCAGUCUUGUCCUUUCUCCCAUUCCUAACCCCAAUUUAACCCUUUCUGCUUCAUUAUUCCCUUCUUACUCUUUAUACUAACUGAACGAAAAAAAUGGAAAAGGGAAGAACAUGACUGCUCUUAGGUAUGGUAGAGGAGAAAGUUUAUUGUAGAUAUGUGAGCAUAGGUAGAGGCAGGGAUAUCUGGGUGAGUCCAUAGUGGACAUGACCAAAUUGGGCUGGGCCAUGUGGGAGAGGGAGAUGAGAGGGGAGGAGGGAGAGAGGGGAACAAGUGCAGCAACCAGCCAGGAGCCAAAGGUCCAAAAAGGGUAGGGUAACCAAAAUGUCUGGAUUAUAUGGAAAAGUGCCUCUGGUCUGGAGAGUUCAGAGUAGAGGGCAGGAUAUGCAAGAGCCAUAUCCUGUAACAGGUGGGGACUGAGGGAUGCUGGGAGAACCUGGUGGUCACAUCCACCUUUGAUAUGUUAAAUAGGCACCUCAGCUGUGUGUCUUUGGUUUGAAACUUCACAUCCCAGCCUUUUUAUUGGUAAUAGAUGAAUGAUAAUGGACAAUGUAAUCAUUUAUGACUACUCCCUGUUGACAUUGGGCAUCAUAGUUGGCAACCCCCCCCCAAAAAAAACCCUGCAACAUUGGCUAAGUCCAGGAAGAGCGGGAUGUUUCACUCACUGUUCAGGCUCUGCAGGGCCAUCUGGGGCUAGGGAUGUGCAGGCAGCAUUUGGAGCAGUUUGAAGUCUUUAAUUAAUUGGAAUUCUGCUUGAAAAGAUAUCUAUUAGGGCAGAAGAUACAGCUAAGGAGUUUAGGAGGAAAUUUUUCAUAGGUGAACAUUUGAAACAUUUAAGCACAUGGUCCUUGUAGGUGGGGGAGGCAAGUCCCACAUUAUCACUGUUCAUAAUAUGUAAUGAUAUCCUCAAUGUAGAAUAGGAAGUAGACUGACACCAUUGAGUCAUUGUAAAAGCUUACACACUUUUUCCUUUACUGAGAAGCCUGGGUGUAUAUAGAUUAUGAAGAUAUUGUACGCACAGUGAGAAGUGCUUUUAAACCUAUACUGAGAUGACAGCUAACAGGAAUUUAAAAUCUUGAGUUUAUAAGUGUGGUGAUAAUAAGAAUGCUUUACCACAGCUAUAAUAAUAGCCCUCCAUGGAUUAAUAUUUAGACUGUAAUUUUGAAGUCUUAAUACAACAGAGGCUUAAUAGGGGAAAGAAAUCUGAAACAUUCUUCAUUCUUUUAUAUAUAUUAAAUGACUUUCUUAUUACAACUUAAGCUUUCAUGUCCCCAGACCUUACACAAACUUACAUUUACACCUUGAAACACCUGCUUAAACCUUAAAACAUUUUCUUAGGUCCUCACUGCUUAAGCGUUCAUAUCCUCAGAUCUUAUGUAAGCUUUACACCACAAGACACAGGUGCUGGCUUACUGAGAGCAGUCAUUAUAAAGCAAGAUCCUUUAAAUAGGCAAAUAGUAAAAAGUUACCUUAAAAUCUGUUUGUGAGUAUGUAUCUUUUCUUUCUGGAGUCUGGUAACAAGGUAAACUAUGUCUAGUCCUAGUAGUAGCACUAGCCAAAUAAGGCCUAUGACCUAAUUUAUGAAGAGAACCUAAGAGGCCUCUGAAGCCUUGUUAAAAGAGCUGCAUGCUUGCUGUUGUUAAAGCUACAGUUAAAGUCCUCAGAGAUCUGAAAAAAAUAAGUUAUAACUGGACAUAAAAUUUCAAUGGUCUAGGUUCCAUUAAAAUGACAAUAAACCUUUACCUAAACAGUUUAUCUUAGGCUCCAGCAGUCUCCAUUGUUUCACUGGGUACAGUAGUUAUGUCUUCAGCUAUCAUACCGAGCAGCAGAGGCUUUGGCUUACAGAUCCAGAUCUGAGAUAUCUUUGUAGAGGAACAACUUGGGGGACUGACCUUACUAUGGCCAGGCAAAGUAGGACAAUCAACACAAAAGUGUCCACAGUGUGAGCAGAACAAUGGCACCAGGCAAGGCAUGGGGCAGUUUUGCUGGGACUAUAUAACCAAAUUUAUUUCCUCAAGUUUUUAAUGAUGAUUGCAAUAAUUGCCAGUUUGUUCCUUUACCUCAUUCUUCUGUCCUCCAACUUUCCCACCAGUAACCAUUACCUACUCGAUUCAUAGCUCUGAUGUUAAAAGCAUGAACAGUAUUGCAAGCAACAAUGGAAGUUUCCUAACUAGGCACACCUGCAGAUAGAACACUGUGCCUAGUUUGCAGCUUUUGUAGUUACAGAAUCAUGCAAAGUAAAAGAAACUUUUGCCUAUAGUGGUUAAUGUUUACCUAAGGUCAAAUCUAUGGUCUCACAAUCAACUCAUUAGCCAAGGCUGAAUCAAUUCAUUCUUUACUCUGUACUACUCUAUUUCGUAUAGGGAAUAUAUCAGUUUUUUUCCUAUCAUUCUAUAAACUGCAUAACUUAAAAGAUUACUCUUAAUAGUUGGCACUGCUUACCCUUUGUUCUUAUGCCCCGUCUUCUCAACUUUAUACAGUAUUAACACAGCUAUUAAAACUGAGGGAAUUGUACAUGUCUAUAAUUCUGUUUCAUUUCCUCUUCCUAGACUGUUUCCAUUAUCUCUUGAUUUCAUCUAUUUAUUAGCAUUUCUGCUAGACUCUGUGGUUAAAAUCAUUCUCUCCAGAACAGUUAUGCAGAUUUGUAAUAUUGCUGUGAACUUCUUUCAGGCUAGUCACAAGGUGCAUUGGAAAGUAACAUCCUGUUAUUGAGAAGCCUGAAUUCAUGAUCACACUUGAAACCUCAAAGGCUUUAGGGGCUGAAUCUGGUCUACUGUAUGUUUUUUAACAACAUCCUCUCUGGCUCACCCAGGGGAGAGUCAUCAGGGGCAAGUUUUCCUUUUGCAAUAACCAUUUCAUCCUCAGCACUAUGAAAGUGAAAGUAGAGGCAUCCAGCAAUAUGAUUUGUAAUAAAGAAAGCAAGGAGAGCAAGGUAACACACAUACUCCCAGGGUCAUGCCCACAAUUAUACAGAUUCUCCAGGGCCCUGACACAAGGCAAGAUUGUUCAUGCUGUCUAAGGCCUUGUCUCCCAAAGAAGUCACCUGUAUCCCAGCAAUAUUCUGCAGGUUAUUGAAGUGUCUGAGGACUAUAUAUAUAUGCCUAACUUUGAAAACAUAGUGGGCCUAUAUAAGGCUUAUUAUUAUAAUUAAUUACAUUAGUGCUUUGCUUGACUACAAGUAUUGUUGUGAGCACAUUCAAGAAAUUGAUCAUUUCUAAGGAGACUGAUUAUUACCUUGUAUUUCUUAAUUAUCCUUAACAUUUUAGAAUAAAUUAGUACCUUUUAUAAGACUAGGACAUUCCAUUCCUUUCCUGUUUAAGGUGACUGAUCAUUAACUUGCAUUCCUUAAUUAUCCUUAACAGUCUACAGUAAGUUAGUAGCUUUCAGAAGACUAGAAAUUUAUGUUCCAUCCUCCUUAGGUGUAGCCUCAAAAUAAUGAUGUUUGAAUUGAAGCCCUUCUAUAAUCAAAAUAAAACAUUUAAUCAUAGAUACAGUCCAUAGAGAGACUGCCAACUUCACUGAAUCUUUUAUAGUGCACUGUGAAUGAAAAUGGGUGCAGUAAUGAAACCAAAAAUAACGACUCUAUGGGUGAAAAGGGGAAAAUGUUUAUUUCAACUUGCCAAGGCUGUCUCCCUGAAAAGUAAGGAGAAACACAAGAGAAAAGCUUUUUUUUCCGUUUUCUCCAUUUUUAUUUACAUUAGAAACAAGAUUAUUUUACAUGUCAAUCCUAGUUCCCUCUGCCUCCCCUCCUCCCCUGACUGCCCACCAACUAAUACCCUACCUAUCCCAAACCUUUUCUGCUCCCCACAGAGGGUGAGGCCUUUCAUAGGGGGUCUUCAGAGUCUGUCAUAUCCUUUGGGAUAGGGCCUAGGCCCACUCCCUUUUGUAUAGACUCAGGGAGUAUCCCUCUAUGUGGAGUGGGCUCCCUAAGUCUAUUCCUAUGAUAGGGAUAGGUACUGAUCUGGUUAAAUGAGUAUAGGAGAAAGGGCCUUGUGAGCUGGGGUGGGGCUUGUGAGCAGAAAUUAAAGGAGUCUAGAGGUUAGUAUUUCCCUUGACAAGUUAAUAGGGACCACAGUCAUAUGUUAAUGGAGAAGGGCCCCAAAUUCCUCUUGCCUGGGAUAAGGAGAAUGACUCCCUUUUUAGCAAGUAUUGAAUUUUCUUCAAGCCCUUCAGGGAAUUGGGUCUUUCAUCCGAAUGCCUGACCUUGGGAAAUGACUUUUCUGGGAAACCAGACAUAACACAACAUCAUAGGUUUUUGGGUUUUUUUUUUUUUGUAGUUGUUGUUGGGGUUUUUGUUGUUGUUGCUGUUUUGUUUUUGUAGCUGUUGUUGGUUUUCUCUGAUUUUGGUAUUUAUAUUGGCUUUUAUUUUAUUUUAUUUUAUUUUUUUGGUGGGUGGCUUCCUUUAUCAAAACAGCUGAAGCUUAAAUAAACAAAGAUGAGGCUAUUGACUCACAAAUACUGCUGUGAGCCCCAGAAGACCUUAGGAAUUUAUAAAUCUUGAUUACCAAAUGUAUCUUGCUUAACAAACAAAUCUUAUUUAUCAAGUACACCUCAUUAAACAUGUUACUUAAAUUUUCUAGUAGCUUGAUGUUAAUCAUUUAUCAUGAUAUAAGUAGUUAUACAUCUUGACUCAACUUUGUUAAUCUGAAUAGACCUUUAUAAGUUUAUCAGCAUACACAGUACAUUGUAAACCAGAGUUGAAUCACAUGUAUAGUAUGCUGUAGCAAAUAGAACCUUAAAUUUUUAUCAUCAUACAAAAUUCUAUACUGAUUCAAAACAUUGAACACAUUGCUGCCUUAGUGUAGAAAGAGAUACAUUAAAAAACUAAGGGCUCAGUAGGACUGAGAAAUUUCAUAAUGUUGCCUCAUUAUGCCAUUUAAGAUGGUGAAAUCACAUGGUAUAUACUAUUUAACCUUAGUAAUGAUGAUUGCUAGCCAUGUGGCUGCUAAUAUCUUGAAUGUCAUUAGCCAAGAUGGAGGCAAGCCACAUAAUUACUACUUAAAACAUCUGUUUUCCUAAACAAGAGUUGAAUCUAUGUGUACAGUAUAAGAGGUGGAUAACAUAAAUAGGAUGUUGUAGCAAAUUAAAAUUCCUAUGUACAGAUUUUAACUAUAAGCUUUUUGCUAUAAGUUUUAAGCUACAUUUUUGUCACUGACUUUAAAGAUUCUUUAACCACUUCCAAUGAACUUACAAAUCAAUCCUGAGAUGAAGACUGUUUACACAAUAGUCUUUAAAGAUUUCUUGAGAGCAAAGCCCAGAAAAAUCAUAGAGAUAAAAGAUUUAAGAGUGGGAAGUUGUAGAACCUUGGAGAUAAGAAACCUUAGGAUCAUUUGCUUAUGCAGGAGCAGAAGUCGCUAUAAUCUUUAAGAAUUUGAAACUCAGUGUGCCAUCUUUGUCCAUCUAACUAUAGUAAGACUGAGGCUUUAAGAAAAUCUGAAUUCCAAGAAAGGAAUUGAGUCCUAGGAGAAAAGGAGGAAGGGUCACAAAGGAAAAGGAAUUGCGCCAUAGACCAUAGGUAGGCUUAUUCAGCCAGGAAAUAGACAAUAGUGCAGGCAUAAGGGACAAGGGGGAACAAAGAGGAAUUACACUAGGUGGGAGUGAGGGGCAAUAUUGCAGAAGCCACAAGGGCAUAGAGAAGCUCUGGCACUUAGAAAACAAUUCCCAGGGGCAGGCAAGGAAACUUGAAACAAAUAAGCCUGGGGGGGCACUAGAAGAGAGAUCAAGUAGCCCAGAGGCUGAAAGGAAGCUUCCUGGCAUACUGGCAUGGCUUUCCUAGUAAAAACAGACAAAGUAGGAAGCUCUGUAGUGAUAUUUACCCCGUAGAAUGGGAUAGACAAAUGGUCAGGACUUCACAUAAGUGCUGAGGAUCACAAACAUCCCAGAUAUUCCUACUAAUGUAACAAACACGUCACCCAAGUAUCUAUCUUUCCAAACUUACUGAGCACAAAUUGAAGUUUCUGCUGAGAUCAAGAGCCCUAUUUCUCCACAAAAGUAUUUUAAAUAUAAAUAAAACUGACCACAUGUGUACAAUGCAGUACCCAUUACUAUAUAAUUGCAUUUUGCUUCUGGUGAGCAUUACAUACAGGAACAAAGUACAAUAUGCCACAUCACAUUCCAUAUGAUAACCUUUUGUUUCAGCAUUAAACCAUAACCUGUCAAAAUAAAACACUGAAAAGUGUCACUCAUUCGACUAUUCCCUUUGCCACAUAGAAGCUUUUUAGUUUAAUGUAAUCUCAUUUAAUGGUUUUUCUCUGAACUGUCCCCCUAUGUUUUCUUCUGGUACUUCUAUAGAUUUUAAUCUUACAUGCAGAUCUUCAGAUAUAUUUGCUUUUUUUAUAUAUAGUAAGAGGCAGGGGAUAAGUAUUAUUCUUCUCCAUAUGUAUAUCCAGCUUCCACAGUACCACUGAUUGAAAAGAUUGUCAUUUCUCAAAUAUUUGAUCUUGGUACCUUGUCAAGACAAGUUGGCUAUAAAUAUUUUGAUGGUUUUCUACUUUUUCCAUUUGGUUUCAUUGGUCUACUGUCAAGUUUCCUAUCAACUUGCUACUUGAUUUCUGAUUUAGAGUUGUUCCUUUAGCUCAUGAUUGCUUUGCCUACUUGGGUCUUUGUGGUUAUUUGAAUUUUGUGAUUUUUAUCUGUUAACAUGAAGAGUGUAAUUUGUACUUUUGUGGAAGUAUUGAAUUAGUAGGUUGUCAUGGGGAAUAAGAGACAUAGUAGCUGUAUUUUCCAAGUCAUGCACUAUCCUAAUAUGAAUUCCCUAAGUGAGAAAGAAAUUUUCAAAAACUCACUUAAAUUUGAAAGUAAAAUAACUAAGUUAGGUUCAAAAUUUUCAAACUGAGAAUUAUGCUUCAAACGAAUUGCUGUGGUAAAAGAUAAAUGGGGAGAGCAAUUUUUUUCUUUCUUCCCUUUAGAGAGAGGAAAAUUACACCAAAAUUUAGGGCAAACUAGAGCUUAAGUUAAAUUUCAUAUGAACAGGGUUUUGAUUAGAACAGAGCCAGAAAUUAAUGAGAGAAAGUUGAUUCAAUCAGAGUCAACUGAAGAUCACUGAGAGAAAUAAUGAGGAGAGGCCAGCUCAUACAAUGUUUUCAUACUGUGGUCAAAUAGAUGAAAACCAGUUUUGACCAGUUUCACCAUUAUCCGUAUGCUUCAUGAUUGGAUCUUUCUUGGAAGAUUAAUGAUCCCCACCUCUUUUGUACAUGAGGGUGACAUCCUUCAAGCAAGGGUGAUAGAUUUUAUUAUUACUAUUAAAGCCUAGAGGUGAAUAUAAAAAUGAAUAUAUAUCACCGUGCAACGUAGAUACCCAAAUGGUAAUGAUUUUUCCCUAACUUUAAACUUCUGAACUAUACAGGUAAUUUAAAAAAUAAUUUUCUGAUUAACAACCAUAUUGGUCUAGAAAUGUUGAACUUAAUUUUCUUCCAUUUGUACAGGGGUAAUGCACUGUAUUAAAUAUGUAAGGUCUUAAAAAUAUAGAAAAGCAUUUAUUUUCUAGCGAGGCUGGAGAUUUUAGUUGCUCAUUCCUACUCUUUUCCUGGUUGUCCUCUUUUAAGAGUUUUCUGUGUAUUUCUGGCUACUUAUGUUUGAGAUUUUUUAUAGAAUUAUUGGUAAACUCUUCAUAUGUUGAGUGUUAAUUCUUAGGAUACAUUUUAAUUUUAAUUUUUUGUUUUUCAUUUACAUUUUUGAGUUUUAAACUUUUAUACAACAAAAUCAUAAUUUAACUUCAAUGGCAAUUUAAAAAAUCUAGAUUAAAAAAACAAAUAAUUUUCUGUCAAUUAUUUAAAAUGGUGAAAUAACACAUUAAUGAAAAAUAAUAAAAGAAGAAAUAUAGUCCAAUAUCUACUGAAAAUGUAUAUAGUCACAUGUUUGUUGAAAAUAUCAUCCUAUAACUGUUAAAUAAUUAUAUACAAUGAUAUUCUGUGCUUAAAUGUUCCAUUUGUGAAAUCUUAUAAGUAACUGAGGAAAACUACAAAAUUAAUUUUCAGAAUAUUAUAAUUUUACUAAAAUCUUUAGGAAUUAACUGUAAAAUAACAUGGCUAUUAUAGACAUAGAUAGGAUAGAAAAUUCAUUCAUGUUACAUUUUAAAAAAUAAAAAAUUCUGCAUUAUCAUAAAGAAAAUUCUUAAACUGAGAUUAUUUUUCCAGUUGCACCAAGGUAACAACUAAAGCUAACUAUGCAGCACCCAGUAUUGCUCCCUCAGAAGCAUCGAGGAACUAAUUGCUACCACAUUGCUUGUGGUACACAUUGCUUUAGACCAAGAUUUCUGCUUAUCUGGGUAUUUGUUGUUAAUCUGUUUAUUAAAAAAUGUGCAAAAUAGAUUUUAUUUUUAUUUUUAAAGAUUUACUACCCUUUUAGAUGGGGAAAUUAAAUGAUAAAGACUAAACCUGUAGACCUGAUCUUUAAAAAUCAGGUACUUCACAGUUAUAUAGCCUAGACUAGGAAAGUAGAGGAUGACACUGACAGCAAAAUCUGAUUCCAGAUUUGGAGAAGGAAUGGAAUGCUGCUGAUUGGAAAAGUAAAGGCAGGGCAUAGGAGCUGAUAGAAAUGUGGGGUCAUCUGGCCUCACAGAUGGACUACUCAAGGUGUAGAAAGGUGAAGAAAUUAUCGUGAGGCAAUGAAAGGAAAAUUUGCCUAGCAUUUCACCCCACAAUGUAUGCUCUUAAACUGGAACAAAGAAAGAACAGUCUCAUGUUCAGGCAGCUGCAAUACUCACAGAAGGUUAGUGUUGGGAAAAGUCUGAUCAUGAUAAAUGAAUAUUCUUGAUUUCUGGUCAGGUUAGAUGACCAAAUCCACUGUAGGCAGUAUCAUCCCUAGGCAUGUAGGCCUGGGAUGUAUAAAAAUGUAACUGAAGCCAGUGAGCCACAACCCUCCACAGCCUCUGCUUCAGUCCCUGCCUACCAGUUCCUGCCUUAAGUUGUUGCCCUGACGUCUUUCAGUUGGGAACUUUUACCUAGAAGUGGAAGUAGAAACAAGCCCUUCCAUUCCCAAGAUGGUUUUGGCCAGGGUUUUAUAAUAGAAACAGAAAAGCAAACAGAGACAGACAUGUUGCAACAGCAUGUUUUCCACUGGAAAAUAACAGUUUGCAAGUUGUCUUAGUAAUUACUUACCUUGAGUGGAAGUUGUAUUAGAAACCUAGCAUGUUAUAUUCCAAUUGUCAAAUUGAUGAGUGUGUGAUUUUUAAAGACACAUAGCUUCAUGAGGAAAAUAAAAUUUGAAAUGGGCAUUUUUAAAGGGGUACAAUUUGAGUACUAGCAAAGGAGAGUGUUUGAUUAGGGAAUAGCAUGUGGUAAGGUGUGAAACUUUCUGUUACUUUACAGUAAAAGAGAAAUCAAUCAGAAAAUCCAAGUGUAAAAAUGUAUGAAAAUCCCAUAACUUGCCAUCAAAACUUAAUAUUAUGUCUCCUCUGUACUUUACCUGAUAACAGAAAACCAUGCUGCAGUUAAAUUCACACUCUAGUGAAGCUAGACUUUCUUAAUUUAAUUUCUGAAACUUACUAAUUCUGUUUGACAAAGAUUCUAAACCCUAAAUGUCUCUGUUUCCUUGGAGACAGCAGAAAUGCCGCACCUAUGAAGUAGCUCUAGUGACUGACUCCAGGCAGGUUAAAAUGGCUACUGGUGCAUUUUAAUAUUCAAUUGAUAGGGUCACUUAAAGUCCCAAGACAUUUCCCAUGAAGGUUAGAUAUUCUUUAACUUUAAAUUUAAACUCAGUCUGUUUAGAACCAGGAGAAUUAUUGGCCCCAUCUGGUGCCACUUUGAAGACAGAGGCCAGCACCAGCUCAAUCUUACCAUAGCAUGCUACCCACACAUGUGGGAGUGUCUAAGUUCUCAGAGCCUUUACUCAUUUCCAUUGAUGGAACUGGAAAACUCCAGGAGCAGUUACAUUCGAGUCAGAUUAUUCCAGGCAGCUCACAAAAGUCAAGGUGCUCCAGAAAAUGUGUAUUCCUGUUCAACCUGAAAAGACACAGCAAAAUCUGUGUUAAAAUCUUUAAAAGUUCUUUUUUUUAAAAAAUUGCAUUGCAUGUGAGCCACUGGCUACAUCCAUUCAAAGAGUAUCUGUUGGAAACCUUCUCUUGAUAAAACUAUUCAAUUGGUAAAAAAAAAAAAAAACUGCAUUAUCAUCACUUCAGUAUUUUUUCUUAGAAAUGAGAAACAUUUUUGUUUUUUGUUUAACAAGACAGCAUUCAAUACUUCUGGCUUCCACUCUGACAUAGAACAGCUUACCUGUCAUCAAUCCUGUCUUACCAAGAUAAAACAGAAAAAAAUAGUUUUCCUUUGAAACCAUCAGAGAAUGGAUACUUAGGGAUAUGUAACAGAAAUUGGAUUCUCUAAUUUAUAGAAAUUCUCAGGUUAAAGCUAAAUGAAUAACUGAGGAGAAUGUGGCAAGAAUCAAAGGAAGGGGCUGGAGAGAUGGCUCAGAGGUUAAGAGCACUAACUGCUCUUCCAGAGGUCCUGAGUUCAAUUCCCAGCAACCACAUGGUGGCUCACAACCAAUGAGAUCUGGUGCCAUCUUCUGGUGUGCAGAUAUACAUGGAAGCAGAAUGUUGUAUACAUAAUAAAUAAAAUCUUUUAAAAAAAGAAUCAAUGGAAAAGUCUCUCAAGACCACAAAAUGUGUGUUCUCCCUACCUACAGGAACCUCACCAGUCUCUCGUGAUCAAUAUCUGAGAAAGAUUCCCUUGUGAUUCUGAAAGAGAAUAGAAAUAAUUAUGGAAUACACCCAGAGCAUUUUCCACAACACAGUUUCCAUCUCUAAUCAAAAAACACAGUUUCCAUCACUAAUCAAAAUACUUUACCAAAGUACUAUUCCAGUUGGGAGCUGGGCCUUCCUUUUCUAGCUAAUUUCUGUCUUAUCAAUCAAGGGUUAAUCCCACAAAGGUUAAUAAAGGUCACUGUUUUUGAGAAAUAUACUAGGGGAUGUGGUAGUUUGAAUGUAUUUGUUCCCCAUAAGCUCAUAAGGAGUGGCAUUAUUAGGGGUCUGGCUUUGUUGGAGUAGGUGUGGCCUUGUUGGAGGAAGUAUGUCACUGUGGGGAUGGGCUUUGAGGUCUUCUAUGCUGAAACUAUACUCAGUGAGACAGUUCACUUCCUAGUGUCUUGGGAUCAAGAUGUAGAAUUCUCAGCUCCUUUACCAGCAUCAUGUCUGCCUGCAUUCCUCUAUGUCCCACCAUAAUGAUAAUGGAUGGAACCUCUGCAACUAUAAACCACCUAAUUAAGUGUUUUCCUUUACAAGAGUUGCCAUGGUCAUGGUGUCUCUUCUCAGCAAUUGAAUCCCUAAGUAAAAAAGGGGUACUAACGUAAAAAAAAGAAAGUAGAAGAAAACUGGGGAGCAGAAGAAUGCUGUGCAUGUAUCUAGAAAUGGCUCACUUGAAAAAAAAAAAACUCUUUUCUUUGAUGACUUGAACUUAUUCCCUAGGACCCACAUGGUACAAGAAAAAAAUCAAGUCCCACAAAUUUUCCUUUCACCUCUACUUGUGGACCUUGAUGCGCGCGCGCGCACACACACACACACACACACAAAGAAAUAAAUGCAUAUGAAAAAAUAUUGCAUGCACAGGCACACAAAUAAACAAAUAAAUACACAUGAAUAAAUAUUGAGGGCCAGUAAGAUGCCACAGCAAAUAAAGGUGCUUGACUCUAAUCAUGAUAAUGGAAGUUUGAUCCCUGCGACUCACAUGGUGGAAGGAGAGGAAUGACUUCUGCAAAUUGUUCUGUGACCUCUCACUGUGGACAUUGACAAACAUGUCAACACACACACACACACACACACACACACACACAAACACACACACACCAAAUAAAUGGAUCAGCAGAUAAAAGUGAUUGUCUGUAUAUCCAAUGACUUGACUUUGACCCCCCCCCCAAACACACAGAAUGUAAGGCAAGAACAAAGUCUUCGAAAAUUGUCAACCUGAUACAGACUUUUUUCCCAGCAAUAAACAGUAAAAAAAAUAUUUAGAGAAUAUAUGCAACUGUAGACAUUUCUGUGCAGGUUACAACCCAUAGGUAGCAUACUUUACACACUUACUCAACAGAUCUCAGAAUACUCAAUAUUCCUUGACAUUUCACCACACUACAGACUUGCAUAUAGUAACAAUGGGUUGUGGUUGAAGAAUCUGCAAAGCAUUAGUUGUCUCAGAAUAUUUAGUGAAAUGCAAAGUCAAAAUGAGAAAUCAAAACAUAGGUAAUAAAGGAAUUCGAUACUUCCUGUUCCUCUAGCAAGUGCAUACAUUAACCAUCCAACUCUUGCUCAAAUGGCCAUAAAUCUCACUGUAAAGAACUAUUGACCUCAGUUUCUUAUUACAGAUAGAACUCAUCAAAAAUGGCAGUGAGUGUCAUAUAUCUAAAAACAAACAAAUAAACAGAUAGACAAACAAACAUAAGAGGGAAAUCAGUGAAUAACAGCAGGCCCAGAACAUAAAUGUUAGAAUUAUCAAAGGGUGAUUUUAAACAACUGUGAUGAACAUGUGUAGGAAAUACAAUAAAAAUCAGAAACACUAUGCUUGAAUAAAUGAUUCUAUAAGCAGAAGAGAUUGGAUUUGUAUAAUCAAAAGGAAAUACUAGAAAUGAAAAGACCUGAGACAGAAAGGAAGAAUGUUUCUACUGGGUUCAUCAGUAUGCUAAACAUGAUGCAAGAAUAAAUCAACAAUUUUAUAAGUCUGUUUUGCAUAGUGAGGUGCAAAGAAGAAAACAAAACAACAAUAGAAUAUACCAGAACAUUAAAGAACAGUAAAACCUGCCUUAUCUCAGUAUAGUUCAAGUCCUGGAAACAGAGAGUUAAAGAGGAAAAAUAAAUAAACCAGCCAAACAAAGAAAAUGUUAAAAUAAUAAUAGGCAAAAGUUUCCAAAAAUAAUAGCAUCCUAAGAUCCAGGUAAUUCAGAGAACAAAUAAAACAAUAGGGGAAAACCCUACAAAUCCAAGCUGUGUCAUAGUCAGUAGAGAAACCAAAGGGGGGAAACCAACUUGUAUUAAUCAAUAGGGAAAAAAAACUUUAUCUACAAAACUAAAGAAUAAAGUUUACCUUUUCAUCAGAAAUAAUGAACUCAGGAAUGGAGGAGAUAUUUAAAUGCUUAAAACUGUUCAAGGAUAGAAAAGACUCAUCAACAGCAAUCUAUAUGCAGGUAAGUUACUCAAAAAUAAAAGGGCAAUAAUAACUUCCACAUGUUCUUGUAACAGACAAAAAUGUAUAUUUGCCCAGCAGACAUUCUGUUUAACACAUGUGAAUUGAAAUUCUUCAGGCAAAAGAGAAAUAGUUCUAAUCCAAAAACUGUAUUUCAGUAAGCAAUAGCAUUACUGAAUAAAUGAAAGUUGUAAAAUAUAAUCUAUUAUUUCCAUUGUUCAUUUUUUCAUUUUUUAUUGAAAAUUUUUCUAAUGAUAUAUUAUGAUCAGACCUUUCUCCCCUUCCCAUCUCCUUCUACCUACUCACUUACCUACCCACAGAAUUCCAUGCCUGAUAUUUCCUAAUGUCUUCAAAAAUGAAUGAAACAAAAGCUGAGGAACACACACAAGUACACAAGUGUACAUGCGCAUGCAUGCGUGUGCACGCACACACACCACAUGCCUAAACAAAGCAAUAUGAGACAAAAAUACCACUGAUUUCAAUUUUUUUGUUGGACAUUUACUCUUGGGUCCAUUGUCCUUAAAUGAUCAAAAUUUCUUUAAAGCAAUACAAAUAAUAUCCUGGGUUAACUAUAUGUGAAAUAAUUGUCAACAAUGCUACAAGUUGUUGUAAGAAGAAAUUGAAUACAUUCUGUUGCUAUGACCCUGUACUACAGGUAAAAUGACAUAAUAUAUUUUGAAUAUGGGGUUACAUUACUUUAAAACGUAUAUACCCCUCAUCUAAAAUAAUCAAGUAAAAGUAGGUAAAAACCAUGUAAAAUAUAUCAGUUCAACUACAUAACAAUCACUUUAAAUGAUAAGUCUUUUAAAAUACAAAGAUUAUUAGAGUGGAUUAAAAGUAUGAUCUCUGAUAUCUACAAGAAACCUGUUUUAAAGAUUUAAAGAGAUCAAUAGUAAAAAAAAAAAAGAUUUCAGCAAAAGUAACUAUAUUGAUUUCAGAUAAAUCAGAUUUCAAAACAAGAAAGACACAAGACAUAAAGACUGGUGUUUCAUAAUGAUGACAGAUCACUAAACAAAGAGAUAAUAGUUAUAAACCUGUCUAUAACAAGAAUGUCUGCCUACAUGAGGUGAUAGUGAAUAUUACUGACAAAAAGAGAUAGACAAAGAAAUAGUCAGAUUCAGUUUAGAGGUGUCAACAUCUUUGUCAACAAGCAAUAAUUAGGUCAGUUCAAAAUAAGAAUAGAGAUGACCUGAGUAGCACUAUGUGUUGAUUUGUCUAAUUCUGAUAGAGUACUCAUCUAACAACAAAGUGCUAUAAAUUAUUCUAAUUCCCUGAUGAAAUGUUCACCCAAUAGAUUGAUCAUGUUACAUAUCAUGAAGUAUACCUUAAUAGAUUCAAAAGAGUAUAAAACAAGUAGUUGUCAGAAAAAUUAAUUUAUAAAUAAGUAAAAAGAUAGCUCGGUAGGCAUCAAGUAUUUGAAAAUUAAAUAAUACAGCCUUUCAGGUCCUGUAUUUAAAGCUAGACAUUUGAGAAAUUAUCAUUUAUUUUUAAUAAGUUCAAGCAAAAUCCUAAUCAAAAUGUGAAAUACAAGUUCUCUAUCAUUAUUUCAAGAAUGUAGACAGAAGGAUCACUUACUAUCUUACUGCAUACUCAGCAGUCAGACAGAUAUUAAAAGGAAAUUCUACACAGUAUGUGUGCAGUUAACAAUAGUGGGUUCCAUAUAUGUGCAUACAGAUGUAUUUUCUGUGUGCUGUGUGAUAUGAGUUAAUACUACCAAUUAAGUUAUGUUCAUAAAAUUUGUGCUACCAUUGUAACAGUAAGAAGGCCAUGCUAGGCCAGUAACUAUUUAAGCUCACAAGGUUAGCAGCUGUGUAAAAUUGUUGGAUAACUUUUCCCCUAGUAAUACAAACAGAAUUUUUCUGUAACUAGAAACUGUUAAAUGCAGCUGAAGCAUCCAGGUAGACACUAACUUAUUUUCUCAAUAAUCAAGCCACCCUAAUCCAAGAAUAAGAAGGGAAAGGAUCAGGAAGUCCACCCAUAGAUGAAAAGUUAUUGGCAAUUUGUAACUGCUGUAAGAAGGGCAAUCGGUUCUCUUCAGAGAUAAAGUUCUUGAAAGACUACCCAUGUUGGAAUGGUUCAUACCCCAUGCACAUACAGACAGCACUAAGGAGACUCAGCACAAUUGAAAUAAGAGAAAAAAUAUGGAGAUCAGAAUUAAAAGGAGAUAUAACUAGAAAGAUUAAACUUGAGUGUGAAUAUGUUCUGAAGAGAUUGUGUGUGUGUGUGCGAGUGUGUGUGUGUAUGUGUGUGUGCAUGAAAUAUUCAGAGUUAAAAGUUAAAAAGUUAAAAGUUAAAAGUCAUAGAAUAUUGGAAUGAGGAAACUGCAUUUCCCUUGGUCAGGUUACCAAGGUAGAGAGGCCUAUAUAAUAAAUUACUGUCGUUGAAGCUAUUAAGAUUUUUGAAUUUACUGUUAUUUAAUAAAUUGUGACCUUAUUGGAAGACAAAAACCCUUAACCUGUUAUUGUCGAAUUGAAUUCAUUAAUAUAUAAAAAAGAUAAUAAAGAAAACUGCAACUUAUUCUAGGUAUACAAAUCUGCAUCAUUUAAAUUUCAAUAGCCCAUGGGAAAAUGCAAUAAUAUUAAUAGUGUAAAAGGUAUUUAAUGAAAUCUAAUAUCCAUUAACAAUAUUAACUUUGAAGAAAGAAAUAAAUCAAAUAAAUUUCAACUUAGUAAAAUAUCUACAAAGACAAGAUCCAACUUACAUCAAACUUACAGCAUAAGAUUCUAUAGUAAAUGAGACCAGAAUGUCAUUUCUUAUAGCAUUCUUUCAUAAUAUCUUCUGGAUAUCUCAGUUACUUCAUCAUGUUGAGAAAAAGGAAUAAGACCUAGAGAUUAUAAGGAAAUAAAUAACAUGCCCUUAACUAGGGGGCUAUCAUUGUUUAUGAAAAAGUCUCUCAAAGAAUCUCCAAUGCAAAAGGCCUGAGAGCUAGCAAUUGAGUGCAUCAAGAUGAGAGGAUAUGAGCUGCAUGCAUUUCUUAUUGUUGUGUCAAGGCUGAAAGAAGCAACGGUAGGUUUUUUACUUUUCUAAUGUGUGUGUGCAUGCGUACACGCAUGCGCACGCAUACACAUGCACAUGUGUGGGUGUGGGUGUGGGUUGUGGGUGUAUUCUACAACACAAAGUUAGGCCAUCAGGCUCAGCAACAAGGUCAUCUACUUUCUCACUCACUGGCUCAUAAGAAAUAAUUUAAAUUGUAAAACAAUUAUUUUUCUUCUUAUUUUCCAAGAUUUCAAUGUUUUACAGUCUGUUGUGAUUCUGUAGAGGGGCAAAACAUCGUGAUGUAAAAGGGCCUGGUAGAGUAUAGCUUCUUGGUUCAUGGUGGCUAGGAAACAGAGACAGGAAGGGACCGACUGGGUCAUGCUCUUAGGGACCAAACUUUUCUGACUAGACCCUUCUCCUAGUAAUAGUAUCAUAUUAUUAAUUCACUUCAGAAUUACUCCAUAGAUUAAGUAAGUGCUCCCAGGAUUCAUUCACUUCCAAAAAGUCUAUCAUCUGGCAACCAGAGCCCAAAAUUGAAGCCUUCAAUGAAGAACAUCUCAGAUUCAAAUCAUAAAACAAGAUAAAAAAAUACGUAAACCAGUUGCUUCCCUGCAUAUCAGUUAUGGACAAAUAAAAUGCAAAAAAUAGAUUAAAAUAUAAGUAAAUAGAUAAAGGGUAUAUUUUUCUAUGUACAUAAAGUAUAACACUUCUGUGAAAAAAAUCAUAGUUCUAAAUAAGUAGAUCUGUAUUUCAGGAUUUGAAGACUCAAAGUUGUCUAGAUGUCUGUUCUUGACUUCACGUACAGACUUAAUGCAACCCAUUUAAGCCUAAAUUUAAUGUUGACAGAAUAAUUCUGAGGUUUAUAUUAAAAGCAAGAGACCAAGAAUAGCAAGAAAAAUACUGAAGUAGAUCAAAUUAUAUAUAUGACUUGGUUUCAGGUCUUUUAUUAGUACAACAUAGAAAUGAAAAUAGUUUAGAAUUAGAAAACAAGAAAGUAUAACACAGAAUCAAUGAGCCCAGAAGAAGAAGGGGACAGGAAUGCAAAUUCAGUGCCUGAAGAAUAGGUUUUCAAAGGAUGAUGGCAUCAGAAGAUAUGGUAGCCCAACUCUAAUGCUGUCACUCAGGAGGUGAAGACAGGACCACAAAGUUAUACUAGGCUACAUAAUACCAUGUAUUUAAACAGGUUCAAAAAUGAACAAAAACUGUUUCUUGAAAAAGGUGAUGUAUAUAGUGGACCCAGAACAUUUUAUAAUGUAAGAAUAAAAAGGUACUAAGCAUGCAGACACAUUCAUUCAUGGAAUUGCAUCAGCAGGACAUAGAAACCAGCCUGAACAACUCCAUACUCACAACAUUUAAAAAAACUGAAAACAGUGAAUAGAAUAUACUGUGUGAUAACUCAUACUUUAAAAUAAAUAUCCACAAAUUCACAGUAAUACAGGUAAUUGAGUUCUAAAAGGAAAUCAUGGAAAAGAAAAGGAUUUUAACACCCUUUUGUUCAAAAAAUGCUCUCAAAAUUAAAACCAAUAAGAUGUGCAUGAAGUGCAAAUAUUCUUAAAUGUAAUGGGCUUCUACCUGAUGUGGUUUUAUAUAUUCUUUCAGUCCAGCUCCACACUCAGAAAUGGUCAAAGGGAUGUGAGAGUGAGGAUUUAUGCAUUCUUUUCAAGUGCUGAACCUGUGAGUUCAAGCAAAGCUAUUAUUUUCAUUUUCUUUCAUCAUAAAGCAUAUACUUGUUGCAGUUCCAGAACGAAAAAUAAAUUUUUAAAAAUGAAAAAAAUAUAAAGGAUAAGUCCAAGUAUUUUUGGUGAUGAUUUUUGUCUUUAGAAAGGUAUAGGAAAAACUCUGAUAUGUCCAGUGAUUAUUAUGCAUAGUGACCUACUUACUGCAAAAGUGGACAUCAGAACAAAACCAGAUUUCUAAUGUGUACCUUAUUUGGGUUUAUAUUCCUGUGGAGAGACACCACAAUCAUGGCAAGUCUUAUAAAGAAAAACAUUUCAUUGGAGCUUGCUUACAGUUUAGAGCUCUAGUCAACUAUCAUCAUGCCAGGAAAGAAGUAUGGUGGAAUGCAGGCAGACAUGCAAUUAGAGAGGUGGCUGAAAAUUCUACAUCUAGAUUGGUAGGCAGCAAGAAGAGAGAGUGACACUCGGUCAGGCUUGAGGUUCUGAAAUCUCAUUGUAUACCCACAGGGAUACACUUCCUCCAAAAAGGCCAUAUCUAUGUCAAGAAGGCUAUACCUCCUAAUAGUGCCACUCACAUGUGCCUAUGGAGGCCAUUUUCAUUUAGACCAACACAGUGUGGAAAUCUGAUAAAUGCUACCUUAGCACAGUAACCAUGAGCAACAUCAAUAGUGAUGGGAUGUGUUAGAAACAUGGUCCUUGAUAUGAUGUCCUGGGGACUACACUUUUCUCAUGGUCAUCUUUCUUAAACCCACAAGGCCUGAACUAUCAUUCAAUACUCACCAGACAAUUGUUUUUUUAGAAACACUUUCCAAAAUAUUUAAUAUUUGACUUCAAAAUUAUAAAGGUCAUAAAGAAAAACUUGAGAAAGUAUCAUGGCCCUGAAUAGCUUAAACAUGCAAAUAAAUGCAGUAUGAGGUCAUGGAACAGAAAUAGGGAACUUUGGUAAGAUUACAAAUAUCUGAAGGAAACAUUAUAAUGGAGUAAUAAUAUUUGUUUAUUGGCAAGUGUAUCGUAAUAAUAGAUUAAUAUUAGAAAAACUGGAUGUGAACAUUUGUGAACUCAGAGCUCACUUCACUCUUGCAGUAAGUAUAUCUUAAAACAAAGAGUACAAAACAUUCAUUACAGUUCACCUAAGUAACACAAGGGAGUGAAAAAAAAUCACAUUGUGUCCCCAAAAAGUUUGAUAAAAUUCAAAACAGUCUCUCAUAUACAGACACUAGUCUUUAUUUUCUAAUUAUCUGCUUAGGUAGGUGAGGUAGUGUGUGUGUGUGUGUGUGUGUGUGUGUGUGUGUGUGUGUGUGUGUGUGUGUGUGUCCUGAUAUGCACACCACUGCAUGAGUAUGGAGGAUAGAGGUUAGAAGAGAGCAAGAAAAGAGAUUCCAUAAUAGAGGGAGCCAUUAUAGGUUAAAAGAGAAAUUUGGCACUAUAGAAAUGUCAAGAGGUCUACAAAGAUGACCUCAACUAACAAUCUAAGCAAUAGUGGAGAGGCUACCUUAAAUGCCCUUCCACUAUGAGAUUGAUGACUACCUUAUAUGCCAUUCUGGAGCCUUAUCCAGUAGCUGAUGGAAGCGGUAGCAGACACCUAAACAGCGAGCCAAACUCCUGGAAUCCAGUUGCAUAGAGGGAGGAGUGAUAAGCAAAGGGUUAAAACCAGGCUGGAGAAACCCACAAAAACAGCUGAUCUGAACAAGGGGGGAGCCCAUGGAUCCUAGACUGAUAGCUGGGAAACCAGCAUAGGGCUGACCAGACCCCCUGAACAUGUGUGUCAAUUAGGAGGCCUGGGCAAUCUGUGGGGCCUCUGGAAGUGGAUCAGUAUUUAUCCCUAGUAUACAAAUGGACUUGGGGAGCCCAUUCCACAUAGAGGGAUACUCUUUCAGCCUAGACACAUGGAGGAGGGCCUAGGCCCUUCUCCAAAUGAUAUGACAGACUUUGAAGAUCCCCAAAGAAGGUCUCACCCUCCAUGGGGAGCAGAUAGGGGAUGGGAUAGAGGGUUGGUGGCGGGCAUGGAAGGAUUGGAGGGAGAGGGAACUGGGAUUGAUACGUAAAACAAUUUUGAUUCGAAUUUAAAUUUUAAAAGAGGGAAAAAAGACAACUUUCUUUAUUGCUUUUCUCUUUCCACUGUGAGUUCAAGUGAUAGAACUUAUUUCAUCUGGCAUGAAUGUUAAAUCAUAUUACCAACUCUCUAUCCUCUAGAUUUUAUUUUUAUGUAUAUGCAUAUAUAUGGUAUUAGUGUGACUAUAGAUCCUGAAACCAGAAAGGAGACCACAAGGUAGGAGAAAUAGAAAGUGUUGAGGAAGGUAAUAGAACACAUGUGACAUCAAAAGAAAAGGGGCCACUGGUAUUGAGAGGAAAGACUAGGGAGAGGGAAGGAGGGAUGGAGGAUCAAAAAAACUAAGUUAAGUUUUAAAAUGUCAUAGUAAUUGAGGUUGUGGUGGUACACUUCUUCAAUCCCAGAACUUGGGAGGCAGAUUGAGAAAUAUCUCUGAAUUUGAGGCCAGUCUGGUCUACAGAGUAGGUUCCUGGACAGCAAGGGAUGCACAGUGAAACCCUGCUUCCACCCCAAAAUCAUAAUGAAAUCUAAUAGUUGUAUGGUAAUUAAAAAAAUUAGCUGAUAUUUUCAUGACUCUAUAUUAUAAACAAAACCCAAACGCAGUUAUUUAAUUAGAUAAAGGGUAAAAUAUUAAUAGUGAAGAUAUGAAAAGUUUUCCUGAUAUUGGGGAAAAAUGCUUCUCCUAUAAUUUAUGUUAAUCAUUAUUCUGAGAGUCCAGUAAUAAGUCCAAUAGGUUAUGGAAUAAGGAAUGAAAAUGGAAAGGUAUAAAUUUCAUUAUUCAGAAAGUGUUUUGAACAUGAGCGAAAAAUAGGAAGUUAAUUAACAAAUUGCUGGCUUAAAAAAACCAACAUGUAAAACUAAGGGAAUCUCUGUGAAACAGAAAAUUUAAAGUUAUAGAGAGAUAGCAAUUGAUAACAUUUUCAGAAAAAAAUGCAACAUCAAUUACAGGAAAAGAUAUUUGCAGAAGUAUUACCAAGCAGUGUUGAAAGAAAAUAAAUAGUAUCAAACAAUAGAAAUAGUGUGUUUAGAGCCAGACAUUGGUGGUGCACACCUUUAAUCCCAGCACUCCGGAAGCAGAGGCAGGUGGAUCUCUGUGAGUUUGAGGCCAGCCUGGUCUCCAGAGCAAGUGCCAGGAUAGGCUCCCAAGCUACACAGAGAAACCCUGUCACAAAAAAAAAAAAAAAAGAAAGAAAGAAAGAAAGAAAGAAAGAAAGAAAGAAAGAAAGAAAGAAAGAAAGAAAGGAAGGAAGGAAGGAAGGAAGGAAGAAACAAACAAAGAAACAAAGAAAGGAAGAAAGAAAGAAAUAGUAUAUUUAGAUUGGCAUAUUUAUUUCUACAUAAAUGUUCUGCCUCCCUGAAAUUUAUUUAAAGAUCCAGUUCAAAAUGUUCCAAAUCCAAAUGUGACUCAUUUCUAUUUACAAAAUUAUCAUUUUUUUAAAUUUUAAAAUAUUUUUUAUUUAUUUUAGAACAACUCUUAUUUACAUAUCAGUCUCCCCAUUCCCUUGACCUCUCAUCCUCCCAUGCUCCCCACCAACCCCCCAACCCACUCUCCAUGUGUCUAGGCUCAGGGAGUAUCCCUCUAUGUGGAAUGGACUCCCAAAGGAAGGUGUAAACUUUUAAGAGCUUCUCUGAGAUUGGAUACCAACAGAAUAGGUAGAACAUAUUUUAAUCAGAUAAAAAGAUCUUGUGAAUUUACCUGAGUUAUUUAACUUUCUAGUUCUAAAUGAUGACUGGAUAUUCACCAGUGUAUAUAUUUUGUGAGGCCAAUAGGGAAGCAUAAAAGUAUUUUAGGCAGCUCUUGUGAAUAUUCAAGGCUUUUCCUAUCUUAAAUAUAAAACUGAAGUGGCAGAACUCAGAAACAUUAUAUUAGUUAUGAAAUUAACUAGUCUUAUAGUGGCUAUCUGUAUUAAUAGAAGUUAUAGUUGUGGGCUAUUCUGGGAGUAAUCAACUUUGGAAGACUAUAGGCUUUCUGACAUUAGUAGGAAUGAACUCAUUACACAGGAAACUUACUUAUUUAGGAGAGUUUUAUUAGCAAUUCAUGUAUUUAUCAUAAUAAGAUGAAGUUUCUCUCAAGAUUUCAAAGACUAUAUGCAAACCUGAGAAAAGCUACUAAAGUUAGAGUAGGCAAACUGGAUGGCAUUUCUACUAUUUCUACCAGGAACUCCUAUUCCCCACUUCAGAAAUAGUCAACUCUGUAUGAGUGAGAAGAUUAAGAAGCAAGAACUUGAAAUUUCAUGAUGGAAUUGUGCCUUUGUUUGUUCUGUCACUGAAUAUUGACUACAAUCAAAUCGUUUAACAAAGGAUAUAUUUUAAACUUGAGAAAUUUUAUAUUCAUAAAAAUAAAUAAUUCAGGAGCUUGGCAUUGGUGAUGCACGUCUUUAAUCCCAGCACUCGGGAGGUAGAGAGGCAGGUGGAUCUCUGUGAGUUCGAGGCCAGCCAGGUCUCCAGAGCAAGUGCCAGGAUAGGCUCCAAAGCUACAUAGAGAAACCCUGUCUGGAAAAACCAAAAAAUAAAAAAUAAAAUAAAAAUAAAAAUAAAUAAUUCAGGAAAUAAUAAAAAGAUAUGCUAUUUUUUUCUGGAAAAUUCUUUACAUGCUUUAUCUAAAAUAAGAAAGCAUUUUUGAGGUCCAUGUUAUCUAUGACAUUGAAACAUUAUAGAGUUUUACCUGUAGAAGGUACUCUUUUAACAUUAUUGAUAACACAGUUCCCACUGAAUAAGAAAGACAUAUGAGCACAGUCCAUAAGGGCUAAAACAUGCUCCAGCCUCUACCUAGGAUUUCAAAGGUGAAAUGCUUCUCAGGAGAGAAGGAAGGCGUAAAAGAUUUCUGUAGUAACUUCACACACAGCCCAAGGGUCAUGCUUUCUAUUUUAUGUGCUGUUUAUUGUUCUGUUUCUUCUCUAAUAAUCCUGUCCUAAUUCUAAUUUCUUCAUGCUUCUUCUUCUAACUUCUUCUAUUAUAAAAUCUCUUCUACUUCAGGAGCUUGAAGUAAUAAAGAAAAUUCUCUCAUUGGUCAAAAUCACAUUCCUAUGGGAAGUGAUAAGGAGAUGAGCCAUUUGCCAUGGCACCAAUAGGGUCCAGGUCCACAGGAAAAAUCCGUGACCAGACAGGGAGGGCACAGUACUCAAUGAUGACUUUAAGACACAGGUCUAUUAUUAAUGGAUUGUCAAGUGAAGAAUCAGCAUGCUUUUCUUAGUAAUCUUCAUAUAUAUCUGUGAUUAUGACCUUGUGCUAAAGUUUUCUUUUUACAAAAAGCCUUUAGUUUAGUUUGACCUUGCUCUGAGGUGAAAGUGAGCAAAUUCUGUGUAGUAGUCUGAGCAAGAAAACAAGAUGGGCUGUUAAGAGUCCACAGUCCUUGUGGGACAAAUAGAUUCAGUUAUGAAGCAUGCCCCGGUAUAUAUUCUAUAUAUCAAACUAUAUAAUUAAAUGAAAGUCAUCUUCCAGACCAUACACAAAUACAGGUGCAGUAAAUACAAAUACAGUAAAUAACUAACACACUGUAGUGCUAUGGGGAAAAUCCCCAAGCUGUAAUGUGAGGGAAAGGACUCUUUACACAAGUAUCUGCAAUGAGGACAGCUGACACAUUCAGAAGGUAAUAUUCCUUACAGUCUUGCAGAUAAGAUUGAGAUAUGUAUCUCUGAUGAUAAUUUGGCUCAUUGCCUUGCUAAAUGAGGUGUGUCCUUCAAGAGAUAAGCAAUCUCUGAUGGACUGAUCCUGGAAGUAUGCACUGAACUCUCUUACUGCAUAAUUCUGUGGUCCGUAGCACCAGUCAAGCACCUGUGUAAUCAUAGCCCAACCUCUGCAAUUAAUGGAUGCUUAAGAUGUUAUAGAUGCUGUCAUUUCAUAAUCACAUUAAUUCAAAAGCUUUGAAAUAUACAACUACAAAUAAUUUGUCUACUGCUUGAUCUACUCCAUCUGCGAGACAGGUUGAAAAAGAAAGGCAGACUCUAUUUUUGGCUAAAUUACAGCAUUAUGAUGCUUCAAAAACAAAACUUCACCAUUUGUUUUAUUUAAAAUAAAGUUCACUCUUUCUAAAAGGCACAGCGUCUCUCUCUUUCGAGUUUGAAAGAUCUAGGAAAUUGGGUUUAAGCCUAACUCAUUAUCAGGAUAAAAAGUGGAGUUGGACUUUUAAAUGAAAAGUUUCCAGAAAAAUAGAAAAAUUUCAUAGGCCCUAACUUGUGUAAGUGAACAACAAUGGUGUGUAUUUACAGGCAUUAAGCUACCAGAUCGUACCUACUUCUGAAAUCAAUUAGACAUUUCUCAUAUAUUUUCUAGAGUUUCUUGUUCUGCCAGGUCCCACUGCUUCAGCCCCAAAAUGAACACACAGAGAUGCUAUAUUAGUUAUUAACGUUAGUCGAUGGUUAGGGAUUCUUAUUGGCUAGCUCUGUCUUAAUUAUUAACCAAAUUCUAUUAAUCUAUGUAUUUCCAUGUGGUCUUGGCCUACCAGAGAAUGCCUGGUUUGUCCUAUCCUCCCAGUCUCUACAAGGUAUCACUUGUGGUCUCUCUCUGCCUACUUUUCCCAGAAUUCUCCUCAUCUCCCAGUCCCACCUAUCUUCCUGCCUCUAUUAGCCAAACAGUGCUUUAUUCAUCAACUAAUAAGAGAAACAUAUAUACAGAAGGACACCCCAUCACAUAUUACUGCCUAUGAAUUGAUUAAAUGGUAGCACCAAAAAGAUUGAUUUAUUUUAGACCAAAGAUUGACAUGAAUCAAAAUUGAACUAAUGAAAUAUUUCACUGUACUGUUUUUGGAUAUGUAUGUGAAAGAAGUAUGCUAGAUGUCUGUCUUUCAAGAAAAUGUUAUAGCUCAUAUAUUGGCCAUUAUAGGAAAUGAUGAGUUGCGUUGAUUUGUUUAAGGUCUGACCUCUAUCUUUUUUUAAUGUUACAAUGAUUCUUCUAUAAUUUACUAAUUCCUUAUGUAGCUUACAAAACAUAUGCUACAAUCAAGCUUCAGUAAUAAAUUGUAAGUAAUAAAUUGUAUAGGCAACACAACUUGGAAAACUGAAUUAUUUUUAUCAUUCAAGUAUAAACUGUGGGAAAUAUAUAAUUCUAGAAAACUAUAUUUGGUCAGGGGACAAAAAUUCCAAUUGUUGCUUUAGACUCUCAAAUGCCAUAUCUUGAUUUUACAUUGUUGAUGAACUGCUAAAAACUGAAACAAAUAGUAAAAAUACCCAUACCCCAGGUUCUCAAUAAUCCCACAUUUAUAGUUAUGUCUUUUCAUUCUCAUUACAUUUCACACACCAGUAAAAGGAAUGUGAUGAUUAUGUUUGUGAGACUGCCAUAUUUUGCUUAAAAUGAUGAUUUCUAAUUUUAUCACUUUUUCUGGAACACAAGAUUUUGUUAUUUUAAGGCUGAACAACAUUUCAUCAUGUAAAUAUACCACAAUGUUUAAUCUAGUGGGACUCAGGAUGAUCCACUUAAUUGGCUAUUGUAAUCACUUCAGUGAUAAAAUGUGUGUAGGAAGGUAUAUCUGCAGAUAGCUAAUUGAGUCUUUUGAGGUAGAAACACAGAAGUGGUAAAGUUGGAUAAUACCAAAGUUGUAUUUUAUUUAAUUUUAUUUGCUUUUUAAAAAGGACAUCAUACUGAUUGGCAUUAUUUACAUUCCCACAUACAGCAUAGAAAAGUUCUCUUCUCCUGAACUAUCAUCAACAUUUAAAGUAUUUUGUUUUCUUACUAUAGACAUACAUAUGGACAGGGACACUUAAAUUGAGACGAUACUGACAUCAGACUGGCCUGUAAACAAAGUAUUUUAUUGUUAAUGCUGGAUGUGCAAUGGUCUAUACCAUUGAAGGUAGUGUCACAUUUGGGCUAGUGGCCCUGGGAUGUAAUAGAAAACAUAUUGAGCAAGGUGUGAAGAGCAAGCCACUAAGCAACAUUUCUCUAUGAACUCUAUUUCAGUUCCUGCCGUGAGCUCCUGACCUCAUUUCCUUUGAUGAUGGACCAUAGUGUGAAAGUGUAAGCCAAGUAAACCCCUUUCUUCCAAAGUUGGUGUUAGUGCUUUAUGAAAGCAACAGAAAGUACAUUAUAACACCUACUCCUUUUUUUUUUGUUCCCAUGCCUGUCAAACCUCCCAUAACCCUCCGAUUUGAGUCAAGAGCCACAGUGUGGUCACACAUUUGAAAUUAUCCAUUAGUACCUGAUCUUUCUAACCAUUGGUUUCACAACUGUGUAGAAUGACUCUUCUUGCCUUAGAAUUCAUCACUAGCCAAUAGUUCGGCAGAAAAUUGUAUGGUCUUGUGAAUACGGGCAUGAACAAUAGCCUACAACCAAUAGAAUUUGCCUUAUAUAAUGCAUUCCCAGUGAAGGCAGCUGCAACUUCUGUAAGAUCAUGUUCAGAAUGGUUGUGUUGUAACAAGGAGAUAGCAAUUUAUACCCCUUCUUCCUAAUUUACAGUUCUUAUGUAACACCUGCCUUUCCUCCAAGUUCUUAAAGCCACUUCUGAGGUGCACUCAGGACAUUGAACAGCCCAGAUCUCAGCAUUCACUAACCUUCAUUGAAAAGUAAAGGAUUUGUGGAUAGGACAAUGGCUUGUUUAUCUUGAGAAGGAUGUUAUUCAGGUGUCCACGACUGACAUUGCUGUUCAAAAUAACCUUAACUCAAGUUCCAGGAAUACUGACACCAUAUCUGAUUUCCAUGGACACUACAUGCAUGCAGUGUAUAUACACUUGUAUGCAAAGACUUCCAAAUGCAUGAAAUUAAAAAUAUAAAAAAGAGCAGAGAAGGCUCUCUAAUUAAGGUCGAGAGUAGAUUUUUCUAUGGAUAUGUCCAUUCGUGUAGAAAAUGUUUUGGAACCAUUUUAGUUUAACUAAAUAACAAUAGCUUAAAACCUUUUCAGUGGUGGACUUUUGAUUAUACAGCACUAAACAUGAAUUCACUCUUGUGAAGGGAUUUCAAAUCCAAUCAUUGAGCUAUUGGUUAUAUCCAUAAUUGCUCUGCCACUAUUGAAUCAUUGAACAGGUAUUAUAUGGGAAGAUGGUACUGUAUAGUUCGUAGGAUGCACAGGUGGAUAGGAACAUUGAUGCUUUCCCCCCAAUUAGCCUACACAGCACCUUCCUGCAUUGUGACUGCUAAUCAGCAGCAAGAAGGUUUCCAUCUAAGUUCCAGUUUGAUUUCUCUAUGUCUUGCAGCACAGGGUGUGUUGUGUCUUGGUAUUAAAAACUAGUGCUGGUAGAAAACAAGAGGUAUUUCAAGCAUUUGUUUACUCAACUAUAGCUUUUUAAGACAGCAUUGUCCAUCUAUGUAGAAUACCUGCCUUCUAUCUUAUAUCUAAGCUUUUGUCUUAGUUUUUCUAUUGCUGUGAUGAAAUGUCAUAAAAAAAGAGCAUGUUGGGGGAGGAAAGAGUUUAUUGGAUCUACACUUGCACAUUGUAGUCCAUCACUGAAAGAAGCCAAGACAAGCACCCAAACAGGACAGGAACCUAGAGUUAGGAGGUGAUGUAGAGGCCAUGGAGGGAUGCUUCUUCCUGGCUUGCUUAGUAUAGUAUUCUCAGCCUGAAUUCUUACAGAAUCCAGGUCCAUCAUCCUAGAGGUGGUACCACCUACAAUGGGUGGUCCCUCCACCACCUCUAUCUUAUUAAGAAAAUGCUCUAAAACUUGGUACCCAGCCAAUUUUAUGGAAUCAUUUUUGCAAUUGAGGUGUCCUUCUCUGAAUUGAUUAUGGUUUGUGUCAAGGUCAUAUAAAUCUAGCCAGUACAUCUUUCAUGUGUCUUCUUCAUAAACACUUCAUUGUGUGUCAUUCUUCCUUGUUGUGUCCUUACUUUGCUUUAACAUUUUCACCCACAGCACACCCAAUGUCUCUAUUUACAUCUGUUGCAUUCUGUGAGCUCCCUUCACUUAUGGUAUCCAAUUCCCUAAUGGUUUCUUUCCACUUUUGUGGCUUCCUCUGGUUCUUGGUGUCAAAUUCAUGCAUCUAAAAGUUUGAAGUUCAGGUCAAUAUAUUUACAUUGUGACAUUUGUCUUUUUCCCUGGAUAUCAUUUUUUCAGUUGCAUUCAUUUAUAUGGAAUUUUCAUAAUUUCAAUUUCUUUACAGCUUAAUAAAUUUCCUUUAUUUACAUGUGGGAUAUAUAUAUGUGUUUACCAUAUUUCAUUUUCUUUUUUGAUAUGAAUGGAAGGGUUUAUUUAAUCUUACAUGUCCUAAACACAGUCCAACACUGAAUGAAGUCAGAGAAGGAACUCAAGGCAGGAACCUAGAGGCAAGAAUGGAAACCAGCAGUUUUGCUUAUUGGUUUGUUUCUUAUUAUAUGAUCAGGAUGCUUUCUUUCCUUUUCCUUUCUAUUCUUUUUCUUCUUUUUUGAACAAGAAAGCAUAACAAAAUGUAAUGUAGUAAGAUAAAACAAAACAAAAACAAGUUGAGAAAGCCAAGCCAAAAACAGAGAAAAAAUUUUAAAAGGCCUCAAGAGAAGGCACAAAAAUCAGAGGCCCACUCUUCUGCACCUUCAUGAAUCCAUUAAAAUCCAUUAAAAGUACUAAACUGAAAGCUAUAAUAUAUACACAGAUGAUGUGGUACAGGCCUGUGUAGACUCUGUGAUUGCUGCUUCAGUCUCUGUGAGUUCAUAUGAGCUUUGCUCAGUUGUUUCAGAGGGCAUUGUUCUCCUUGAAUCCCCCAUUGCCUUGUUUCUCCCACCCCUUCUGCCUCCUUUUCUGUAGUAUUCCCUGAGCUCUGAGGGGAAGGAUUUGAUGGAUGUUUUGUGUUAUAAGGGCUCUCUCUCUCUCUCUCUCUCUCUCUCUCUCUCUCUCUCUCUCUCUCUCUCUGUGUGUGUGUGUGUGUGUGUGUGUGUGUGUGUGUGCGUGCACACACACAUAUUUGUUUCUGUAUGUUAUAUGAAGAAGGCUUUCUGAUGAUCGCUGAAUAAGGUACCAAUAAGAUGCUAUCAAUAUAGCAGGAUCUCAUUAGGAAUCAUAUAAUGUUAUUAUUAUUAUUUUUAGACCAGUAGUAUCUGGUCUCAAUACAUGUCUUUGGGCUAUGUUGACUUGGGUUCUUUGUCACCUAAGCAGCAUCAUUUAUUGGUUCCAUCUCACGGAGAGGACUUUAAAUCAAACCAAACAUUGAUUGAUUAUUCCAACAAGAUUUGUUUCACCAUUACCAUAGCAUAUUUUGUAGGCAGGACAGGUUAAAGUUCAGAGGUUUUGAGGUUAAGCUGUUGUCUACUUUUCCCUUUUGGUAGCCUUCAAAUUGCCCUUAUGGGUCAUAUAAACACUAAAACUCGGAGGUGAAGGUAGUUUGUAUGCACCAACUCAAUCUCUCCAUGUUCAAUGAGGGGUGGAGGUGUUAUAUUCAGUAAUGGCACCUAGAUGACAGUUUUGGGAGAGCAACUUCAUGUCUCGACAACAACCUGUGUUGUUUGGGAAUUUCUAUGAGACCCAUUUAGCCAACAACUAAAUUGGAUGAAACCAAUUAUAUAUAUAUAUAUAUAUAUAUAUAUAUAUAUAUAUGUGUGUGUGUGUGUGUGUGUGUGUGUGUGUGUGUGUGUGUGUGUGUGUGUGUGUGUGUGUUGAUAUAUAAAAGCUUUGUUUAGUAAACACAGAUAACAAAUUGGCUUCUGUCUGCCUCAUUUUGGAGACUUCAUUAGGAUAACCCUCAUAUGUUAUAGAAAGUUUCCAUUGCACUAGGUUUCCAUACUGUACUUCAAAUGCUCAUCAAUUCUAGCUUGUCCUCUCCUCAUUCUUCCCCCAAAUUCCAUCUUUACUUUCCAACAAAUCCUCUGUUUCUCUUCCAUUCCCCAAUCUACCCCAGACCAGUCGACCUAUAAAAUCUAUGCUAUUUUCCCCUCUUAGGGAAAUCUAUAUAUGCCCCCCAACUCUGUCCUCAAUGGCUAACCUCUCUCAGUCUAUGGAUUGUUUCUUGGUCAUCAUUUACUUAAUGGCUAUUAUCUAGAUAUAAUCGAAUACACACCGUAUUUAUUUUUCUGCAUCAGAGUUACUCACACAGGACUGGUUUUUAUAGUUCAAUUUCCCUGGAAAUUUCAUGAUGCCAAUUUUUAAAAGAACUGAGCAAUAUUCCAUUGUGUAAAUUUAAUUUACAAUAAAGAAAAUUCAGGUGAGCAAGAAACACUACCUCAAGAUACAGCUAUACCACUCUUGGACAUAUACCCAAAGGAUGCUUCAUCCUACCACAGAGACAUUUGUUCAAUCAUGUUCAUUGCAGAUUUAUUAACAAUAACCAGAAACUGCCAACUAUCCAGAUGCCCCUCAACAGAAGCCUGAAUAAAAAAAUGUGAUACAUUUACACAAUUGCUAGUGAGAGUGCAAACUUUUCAGUCAUUAUGAAAAUCAUUAUGGAGGUGCUUCAGGAAGAUAGGAAUUGAUGUACCUCAAGAUACAGCUAUACCACUCUUGGGCAUAUACCCAAAGGAUGCUUCAUCCUGCUGCAGAGACAUUUGUUCAAUCGUGUUCAUUGCAGCUUUAUUAAUAAUAACCAGAAACUGCCAACUAUCCAGAUGCCCCUCAACAGAAGACUUCAUGACUGUAAUUUUGCAAGAGUUAUGAAUCAUAAAGGAAAUAUCUUUCUUAAUUUACUACUCUAAACAUUGAAUUUAAAUUCCAUGCAUGCACACUAUAGCAAUUUAUCCUGUAUCUAUAUUAUUCAACUGUUCUUGUUUAUUCCUGUUGCAAGUCUCAGGCAAGUACUUUUUCUUAUAAUUUUAUAUUACUAUGCCUUCUGUUUUUACUUGUGGAGCCCCACUCUUUUCUAUCUUGGUUCUUCCCCAACACCUCAGAAAUGAACAAGAGGAUUUUUUCGAGAAGAAAAAAAAUAAUACAGGAGACUUGUAGAGCUUCUAAGGAGAAAGAGACAUCCCUGUAUCAACCAAGCAACUUCCCAGAGCCUGUGAGAGAGACUUUUAGAUUUCAGCAAGAGCCUGAAGAUACAUCAAUGACCUUGAAUAGUGAACACUAUUUAUAAACAAGAAACCAGCAAAGGCAAAGUACACAGAGUAACAUUUUUCUUUUACAUGUUAAUGAUAUAAUUGAAAUUUUAGCUACAGAAGACAUUUAUUCCUAUUACAAUAGUCUGUCUCCUACCAAAAGAAUGUAUUUUAACCAUUGACAUAAAAUGUUAAAAUUUGACUUUCCAAUCCAUCUCUGAUUCAAACUUCAGCAAGAAGAUUUUUUUAACCAAUAUGUUCUUUUGGCCAUAUGAAGCAAUAUUUGAUCCUGAAGUUGCUUGAAGCAAAUAUUUUUCCUUCCUCUUUCCCUUUGUUCAGGUGUUAUCUUCUAAGAAUCUCACCAUGAAUGUGAAUCUCUUAAUUUCCUUCUUCCAUUUCUUGUCUUUCCUGGAGUUAGUUAACCUUCCACAUUGGAGGAUUUUUACAUUGCCCUUGACCCACUGUCUUCUAUUUUUAGAGAAUUGUGACAGACAUGUCAGUUACACUCUCAACUUCUGAAAAUGUCCAGCCUCCAAGGAAUACUGAAUUCCUUUUUUGUUUUUUUCUGCCUUGGCAGAAUGCAUAAUGUUUACUUGGUUACCAUAGUACCUUUUCUUCUAAAAGCACCCAAUCACCACUCAGUACCUUUUUUUCCAUUCACUAAUUUAGCUCAUAAAUAAAGUCAUGCACAAUUAUGAUGCACAAUACAGUAUGUUCACAAUGGCAUGGCUAAAUUAAACCAAUUAACAUGUUAUAUCACACAUAUUCAUCAUUUUUGUUUUGAGAACACUUAAAGUAUACUAUCUCACAACUUUUAAAAUAUAGCAUAUUGUUAUCAACCAUAUUUAUCAUGCUCUCAGUAGACCUCAAGACAUCACAGAGUCCAUGCCUCUUGUCCAACUGCAGUUUUAUAUCCUUAAACCAAUCAUUUCCCCAUUGUUAAAAGACCCACAUUGAAGCCUAAUAGCCAAAAUUCUGCUCUUUGUUCCCAUAAGUUCAUCAUUUCUAGGUUACACAUGAAAUUGAAAUUGUGUGACAUUUGUCUUCCAGUAUGUCACUUAUUCUUUUUUUUUUAGCAAGCAUAUAACUUUACUACUUAUUAAAGAUGAAAUCAAAUUUGCAUGCACAGGUGAGCACUCACUGAAACACCUUGGAUUCAUCAUAUAUUUGAGUUUCAAUUAGCAUAUAUAUAUGCUAAUAGAGAGAGAGAGCAAUAAUGGCAAUAUGUUAUGCAUCAAUAGCAGCAACAGCUUUUCCAGGUUCUGCAGUCAUUUGAACAAAAUUGUAGAGACAUCCAGCACACUCCGUUUAAAAAAAAACAAAAAACAAAAACAAAGAACAAACAAACAACAACAACAAAAAAGUAAAUAACAAAAUCCCAGCAAACAGCACAGUUCUGUUACUCUUGUGGUACUUGGCACCAUUUUUUUUAAUUAGCUUCUCAGUCAUUAUCUGGGAGGAAACCAUUAUGAGCAACAUCAUUAAAAACAGCUCUGAUAAAGCAUGGUCACUACUAUGUAUCAUAAAGCAGGUCCACAUAUGAAUAAGAACAUAUCAUGUUUGUCUUUUUGUGACUGGGUUACCUUGCUCAGAAUGGUUUCUUCGAGUUCCAUCCAUUUUCCUGCAAAUUUCAAGAUUCCAUUGUUUUUUUUCUGCUGAGUAGUACUCCAUUGUGUAAAUGUACCACAAUUUCUAUAUUCAUUCUUCAGUUGAGGAGCAUCUAGGCUGCUUCCAGUUUCUGGCUAUUACAAAUAAUGCUGCUAUGAACAUGGUUGAACAUAUGUCCUUGUUGUAUGAAUGUGCUUCUUUUGGGUAUAUGCCUAAGAGUGGAAUUGCUGGAUCUUGUGGUAGACUCAUUCCCAUUUUCUUGAGGAGUCGCCAUACUGAUUUCCACAGUGGCUGUACAAGUCGGCACUCCCACCAGCAGUGGAGGAGUGUUCCUUUUUCUCCACAUCGUCUCCAGCAUAAACUGUCAUUGAUAUUUUUGAUUUUAGCCAUUCUGACAGGAGUAAGAUGGUAUCCCAGAGUUGUAUUGAUUUGCAUUUCCCUGAUGGCUAAGGAUGUUGAACCUUAGCCAUUUUAGAUUCCUCUAUUGAGAAUUGUCUAUUUAGUUCUGUACCCCAUUUUUUAAUUGGAUUGUUUAGUGUUUUUGAGAAUAGCUUCUUGAGUUCUUUGUAUAUUUUGGAGAUCAGCCCUCUGUCAGAUGUGGGGUUGGUGAAUAUCUUUUUCUAGUCUGUGGGCUGUCAUUUUUGUCUUGCUGACUAUGUCCUUUGCCUUACACAAGCGUCUCAGUUUUAGGAGGUCCCAUUAAUUAAUUGUUGAUCUCAGUGUCUGUGCUACUGGAAUUAUGUUCAGGAAGCAGUCUCCUGUACCGAUUAAUUCAAGGGUAUUUCCCACUUUAUUUUCUAGUAGGUUCAGUGUGGCUGGGUUUAUGUUGAGGUCUUUGAUCCAUUUUGACUUAAGUUUUGUGCAGGGCGAAAGGCUUGGAUCUAUCUGUAGUCUUCUACAUGUUUGCAUCCAGUUAUGCCAGCACCAUUUGUUGAAGAUGCUCUCUUUGUUCCAGUGUAUUAUAUUUCGAUUGUUUGUCAAAAAUCAGGUGUUCGUAGGUGUGUGGGUUAAUUUCAGGGUUUUCAACUCUAUUCCAUUGGUCUACCUGUCUAUUUUUGUGCCAAUACCACUCUGUUUUCAGGACUAUAGCUCUGUAACAGAGCUUAAAUUUAGGGAUGGUGAUACCUCCAGAAGUUCCUUUAUUGUACAGGGUUGUUUUGUCUAUCCUGGCUCUUUUGUUUUUCCAUAUAAAGUUGAAAAUUGUUCUUUCAAGGUCUGUGAAGAAUUGUGCUGGGAUUUGGAUGAGGAUUGCAUUGAAUCUGUAGAUUGCUUUUGGCAAGAUUGCCAUUUUUACUAUGUCGAUCCUACCUAUCCAAGAGCAUGUGAGAUCUUUCCAUUUUCGGUUAUCUUCUUUAAUUUCUUUCUUUAGAGACUCAAAAUUCUUACAGUACAGGUCUUUCACUUUUUUGGUUAGUGUUACUCCAAGAUAUUUUAUGUUGUUUGUGGCAAUCAUAAAGGGUGAUGCUUGUCUGAUUUCUUUCUCCACCAAUGUGUCAUCGGUAUAAAGUAGGGCUACAGAUUUUUUUGAGUUAAUCUUGUAUCCUGCCCGUUUGCUGAAGGUGUUUAUCAGCUGUAGGAAUUCCCUGGUUGAGUUUUUCAGGUCACUUAUGUAGACUAUCAUAUCAUCUGCAAAUAGUAAGAGUUUGACUUCUUCCUUUCCAAUUUGUAUUCCCUUGAUCCCCUUUUGUUGUCUUAUUGCUCUAGCUAGAACUUCAAGGACAAUAUUGAAGAGGUAUGGAGAGAGUGGACAGCUUUGCCUUGUACCUGAUUUUAGAGGAAUUUCAUUUUCUCUCCAUUUAAUUUGAUGUUGGCUGUUGGCUUGCUGUAUAUUGCUUUUAUUAUGUUGAGGUAUGUUCUUGUUAUCCUUGAUUUCUCCAGGACCUUUAUCAUGAAGGGAUUUUGGAUUUUGUCAAAGGGUUUUUCAGCUUCUAGUGAGAUGAUCAGGUGAUUUUUUCCUCAGUCUGUUUAUAUGGUGGGUUACAUUGAUGGAUUUUCGUAUGUUGAACCAUCCUUGCAUGCCUGGGAUGAAGCCUACUUGAUUGGGAUGGAUGAUUUCUCUGAUUGUUCUUGGAUUCAAUUUGCCAAUAUUUUAUUGAGAACUUUUGCAUCAAUCUUCAUGAGGGAUAUUGGUCUGUAGUUCUCUUUCUUAGUUGUGUCCUUGUGUGGCUUGGGUAUCAGGGUUAUUGUGGCCUCAUAAAAAGAGUUUGGUAAUGACCCUUCUGCUUCUAUUGUGUGGAAUACUUUGAAGAGAAUUGGUAUUAGCUGUACUUUGAAUUUCUGGUAGAAUUCUGCACUGAAGCCAUCUGGCCCUGGACUUUUUAUGGUUGGGAGAUUUCUAAUGACUGCUUUAAUUUCAUUAGAGGUUAUAGGUCUAUUUAAGUUGCUUAUCUGUUUUUGAUUUAAUUUUGGAAAGUGAAAUCUGUCCAGAAAAUUGUCCAUUUCCUUUAGAUUUUCAAAUUUUGAGGAAUGUAGGUUUUCAAAGUAUGACCUGUUGAUGCUCUGGAUUUCCUCUAUAUCUGUUGUUAUGACCCCCUUUUCAUUCCUGAUUUUAUUCAUUUGCAUGUUCACUCUUUUUUGUUUGGUAAGUUUGGAUAAAGAUUUGUCUAUCUUGUUGAUUUUUUCAAAGAACCAACUUUUUGUUAUAUUGAUUCUUUGUAUUGUUCUCCUAGUUUCCAUUUUAUUGAUUUCAGCCCUCAGUUUGAUUAUUCUUGGCAUCUGCUCCUCUGGGGUGUAUUGGCUUCUUUGUUUUCUAAAGCUUUCAGUUGUGCUGUUAAUUCUCUAGUGUGAUUAUUCUCCUGUUUCUUCAUGUGGGCAUUUAGUGCUAUGAACUUUCCUUAGCACUGCUUUCAGAGUAUCCCAUAGGUUUGGAUAUACUGUGUCCGCAUUCUCAUUGAAUUCUAGGAAAUAUUUAAUUAUUUUUUAUUUCUUCCUGGACCCAUGAAUUGUGCAAUUGGGUGUUACUUAAUUUCCAUGAGUUUGUAGGUUUUAUGUAGUUCUUGUUGUUGUUGAAUUCUAAUUUAAAGCAUGGUGGUCUGAUAAGACACAGGGGGUAUUUCAGUUUUUUUGUUCUUGUUGAGGGUUGCUAUGUUGCCAAGUAUGUGGUCAAUUUUAGAGAAGGUUCCAUGGGGUGCUGAGAAGAAGUUAAAUUGUUUUGUAUUUGGGUGGAAUGUUCUAUAGAUAUCUGUUAAGUCCAAUUUUGCCAUAACUUCUAUUAGUUCUUUUGUUUCAUUGUUAAAUUUCUGUCUGGUGUUCCUGUCCAGUUGUGAGAGUGGGGUGUUGAAAUCUCCCACUAUAAAUGUGUGCGGUUUUAUGUGUGAUUUGAGUUUUAGUAAAGUUUCUUUUACAAACGUGGAUGCCUUUGUAUUUGGGGCCUAAAUGUUCAGAAUUGAGACUUCAUCCUGAUGGAUUUCUCCUGUGAUGAGUAGAAAAUGACCUUCUUCAUCUCUUUUGACUGAUUUUAGUUUAAAGUCCAAUUUAUUGGAUAUUUUAGGAUUGCUACCCCUGCUUGUUUCUUGGGUCCAUUUGAUUGGAAGAUCUUUCCCCAACCUUUAAUUCUUAGGUACCGUCUGUCUUUGAGGUUGAGGUGAGUUUCUUGUAUGCAGCAGAAGGAAGGAUUCUGUCUUCUUAUCCAUUCUGUUAAUCUGUGUCUUUUUAUAGGGGAGUUAAGACCAUUAAUGUUGAUGGAUAUUAAUGACCAUUGAUUAUUGUUCAUUCUUGUUUGUUUUUGAUUUGGUGAUGGUGGCGAGAUUAUGUGUAGGAUUCUAUCCCUUUUUUCUUCUGACUGUUGGUAAGUUGGGAUUAUCUAUUGCCAAUGUUCUCUGUCUCAUAUCUCUAACUAUACUGAGAUGAUUAACUUCUAAGAGGAGAAGAUUGCAUACUUGGUUAUGGCAGUUGCAGUCUAGGAUCAGGCAAUCCCAUUUGGGCUUUUGAUGGGCAUGCCUCAUCAUCAUGGCAAUGGUGAGAAACACGCACUGAAGCAACUUGCUCAUGUCAGAAACCAGGAACCAAAGAGGAAGCAACCAGGACCUCACCAUCACCUCAGUAGCAAGGUCCCAGGGACUUAAGAACCUCUUACUAAGCUCUACUUCCUGAAGCUCCCUCAAAUGCCACUCUGGGAACCAAGCUUUAUGGAAAGCUUCACCCUCCUUUGGGAGCAGAAAGGGUAUGGGAUUGGUAGGGUGUUAGUUAGGGGGUGCAGGUGCAGGGAAGGAGAGAGGGAAAGGGACCUGGGAUUGACAUGUGAAAUAAUUUUCUUUCUAAUUAAAAUAAAAGAGUUGUGAAAAAAUUCUAAUCAAAUGGACCUUAGAAGCAAACUGGUAUAGCGAUACUAAUAUCUAAAAUAAUAGACUUCAAACUAAAAUCAAUCAAAAAAGAUACAAAAUCCUUCAAGAGGAAAUCUCAAUUCUGGACAUCUAUGCCCCAAAUACAGGGACUCUCACAUUUGUAAAAGAAAAUUUAGCAAAGAUUAAAUCACAAUUUAAUCUCACACACUAAUAGUGGGAGUCUUCAAUACCCCUCUCUUACCACUGGAUAGAUCUUCCAGACAGACACUUAACAGAAGAAUAAGGGAAAUAACAGAUGUUACCACUCAAAUGGACUUAACAGACAUCUAUAGAAUGUUCCACCCAAACAUAAAAGAAUAUACUUUCUUCUCAGCACCUAUGGAACCUUUUCAAAUAUAGACCAUAUACUUGGUAACAAAGCAAACCUCAACAGAUACAAAAAAAUUGGAAAGCCCCCUGUAUCUUAUUGGAUCCAAACAGCUUAAAGUUAGAAUUCAACAGCAGCAUUAAUUUCAGACAGCUCACAAACACAUGGAAAUUGAACAAGGCUCAACUAAAUCACCACUGUGUCAAUGAUUAAAUAAAGAAAUUAAAGACUUCCUAAAAUUUAAUGAAAAUGACCGCACAACAUACACAAACUUAUGGAGCACAAUGGAAGCCAAGGUAAGAGGAAAGUUCAUAUCACUAAAUGCCUAUAUAAAGAAAAUCCUACACUAGUGAAUUAACAGAAAAACGGAAAACACUAGAACAAAAAGAAGCGAUCUCAUGCAGAAAGAAUAGAUGGCAAGAAAUAGUCAAAUUUAUGGUCAAAAUCAAUAAAAGAAAACAAUACAAAAAUCAAUGGCAUAAAGAGUUGGUUCUUUGAGAAACUCAACAUAAUAGACAAAACUUUGUCCAAAGUAAACAAAAGACAGAGAAAGAAUAUCCAAAUUAACAAAAUAAGAAACAAAAGGGGGACAUAACAAUAGUCACUCAGGAAAUUCAGAAAAUUCUUAGGUCAUAUUUCAAAAAACCUGUACUCCAAAAAAUUGAAAACCUUUAAGGAGAUGGACAAUUUUCUAGAUAAAUACCACAUACCAAAACUAAAAAUCAAGAACAGUUAAACAAAUUAAUUAGAGCUAUAACCCCUAAGGAAAUAGAAAUAGGUAUCAGUCUUCCAACCAAAACAAGCCCAGGCCCAGAUGAUUUCAGUGCAGAAUUUUACCAAAUGUUCGAAAAAGAACUAAUCCAAUUCUCCUCAAAUUGUUCCACACAAUAGAAAUAGAAGGAACAUUGCCAAACUCUUUUUAUGAAGCUACAGUUACCCUGAUACCCAACCCACACAAAGACACAACUAAGAAAGAAUUACAGACCAAUUUUCAUCAUGAAGAAAAAUACAAAAAUACUCAAAUAAUGGCAAACUGAUUCCAAGAACACAUCAAAAAAUCAUACACCAUGAUAGAGUAGAAUUCAUCUCAGAAAUGCUGGGAUGGUUCAACACACAAAAAAUAUGUCAAUGUUAUCUACCACAAAAAAAAAAACUGAAAAAAAUCCCACAUGAUCAUAUCAUUAGAUGCUGAGAAAAACUUUGACAAAUUUUAAUACCCCUUCAUGAUAAAGGUGUUGAAGAGAAUAGGGAUACAAGGAACAUACCUAAACAUAAUAAUGUAAUAUACAGAAACCCAAUAGCCAACAUCAAAAUAAAUGGAGAGAAACUCAAAGCAAUCCCACCAAAAUCAAGAACAAUACAAGGCUGCCCUCUCUCUGUCUAUCUAUUCAACUUAAAGUUACAGCUAGAGCAGUAAGAGAACAAAAGGAGAACAAGGGGAUAAAAACUGGAAAAUGAGAAAUCAAACUCUUGGUGUUUGCUGAUGACAUAAUAGUUUAUAUAAGUGACCUGAAAAAUUCUACCAAGGAACUCCUACAACUGAUAAACACCUUCAAUAAUGCAGCAUGAUACAAGAUUAACUAAAAGAACAGAUCAGCAGCACUCCUAUAUGCAGAUGAUAAACAGGCUGAGAAAGAAAUCAGAGAAACAUCACCCUUUACAAUAGCUACAAAUAACACAAAAUAUCUUGGGGUAACUCUAACCAAACAAGUAAAAGACCUGUAUGACAAGAAUUUUAAAUCUUUAAAGAAAGAAGUUAAAAAAGAUACCAGAAAAUGGAAAGAUCUCCCAUGCUCUUGUAUAAGUAGGAUCAACAUAAUGAAAAUGUCAAUCCUACCAAAAGUAAUCUACAGAUCCAAUGCAUCUCCAUCAAAAUCCCAGCACAAAUUUUCAUGGACUUGGAAAGAAUAAUAUUCAACUUCAUAUGAAAAACAAAAAAAAAAUCAGAAUAGGCAAAACAACCCUGUACAAUAGAGUAUCACCUCAGAGCAUCACCAUCCCUGACUUCAAGCUCUAUUAUAGAGCUAUGGUAAUUAAAACAGUUUGGUAUUGGCGUAAAGACUGACAGGUGAACCAAUGGAAUUGAAUCAAAGACACUGAUAUCAACCCACACAUCUAUGAACACCUAAUUUUUGACAAAGAAGCUAAAAAUAUAAAAUGGAAAAAGAAAGCAUAUCCAAUAAAUGGUGCUGUUAUAAUGUCUGUCAACACAAAGAUGAAUGCAAAUAGAUCCAUACAUUGAUAUGCACAAAACUCAAGUCCAAAUGGAUCAAAGACCUCAAUAUCAUUACAUCCACACUGAACAUCAUAGAAGAGAAAGUGGGAAAUAUCCUUAGCACCUACACACAGGAGACCACUUCCAAAGUAGAACACCAGUACCACAGACACUGAAAACAACAAUUAAUAAAUGGGACCUCCAGAAACUGAGAUGCUUCUGUAAAUCAAAGAACAUGGUCAACAAGACAAAAUGUCAGCCUACAGAAUGGGAAAAGAUCUUUACCAACCCCACAUCCAACAGAGAGCUGAUCUCAAAAAUAUACACAACACUCAAGAAACUAGACAUCAGACUACCAAAUCAUCUAAUUAAAAAUGGGAUACAGAUCUAAACAGAGAAUUGUCAACAGGACAAUCUCAAGUGGUUGAAAGACACUUAAGGAAAUGAUCAACAUCCUUAGUCAUCACAGAAAUGCAAUCAGGACAACUCUGAGAUAACAUCUUACACCAGUCAGAAUGGCUAACAUGAAAAACAGCAAUGACAGCCUAUGCUGGAGAGGAUAUGGAGUGAGGAGAUCACUCCUCCAUUGUUGGUGGGAAUGCAAACUUGUACAACCACUUUGGAAAUCAGUAUGGAGAUUUCUCAGAAAACUAGGAAUCAAGACCCUGCAAUACCACUUUUGGGCAUAUACCCAAAGGAGGCAUACUCACACCACAAGGGUAUUUGCUCAACCAUGUUUAUAGUAAUAUUAUUCAUAGUAGCCAGAACUUGAAAACAGCCUAGAGGGCCCUCAAUUGAAGAAUGGUUAAAGAAAAUGUGGUAUCAGCAGUAAAAAUACAAUGAGAUCCUAAAAUUUGUAGGCAAAAAGACAGAACAAGAAGAAAACAUCUUGAGUAAGGUGAUCCAGACCCAGAAAGACAAAUAUAGUAUUUACUCAAUAAUAAGUAGAUACCAAACACAAAGCAAAAGACAUCCAACCUGCAAUCCACAAUCCCAGAGAAUCUAGAACCAUCUUCCAAAAUAGAUGGAAGCAGAUAAAGAAAUCCACAAGUAACCAUUGGGCUCAGAUCUUGGUGUACAAUUCAAGUGAUGGAAGAGCAAUAAUAUGAACAAAGGACUCAAGAUCAUGAUGGUGAAACCCAAAGUAUCAGCUGACCGGAGCUAGUGAGAGAACCUGGACUCUAGUCUGACAAUUGGGGAACCUAUAGAAGACCAAACUAGACUCCCUGAAUAUAGGUGGCAAUGGUGUGGUUGGGGCAGUAAAUGAUGCCACUGUCAGUGGGUCCAAGAUCCAACUCUAAUGCACAAACUCACUUAAUGGAGUCCAUUCUAUCUGGAGAGAUACCUUGCUCAGCCUAGACAUGGGGUGAGUUCCUGCCUCCACAAGAUUAUGGGACCAACUUAAUAGUCUUCAUAGGGGAGGCCUUACCCUCUCAAAGGAGAAUAUGGGAGUUGUAGUGGUGUGGGAUGUAGAGAACCUUGAAGAGAAGAGGAAUAGGGAUCUGGCCUUUAAAUAUAAAAAAUAAAUUAAUAAAUAUAAUUAUAACGUCCUAUGCUUUUCUUGCUUGGAAGAUUGCUUACAUAUUCUGCCUUUCUAGCUGAGUUGAUGCUUUCCCGUAUAGUUUUAAAAACUUUUUUCACUUUGCAUUUUCAAUUAUUUUAGAUUUACUUGUUUGAUUUCGUAAAUAUGACUAUUCAACCACAUGUACUUAUGUAAACUGCAUAUGUGUCUGCUGCUAAUGGAGGCCAGAAGAGGGCAUCAGUUGCUCUGGAACUGAAGAUACAGAUGGUUGUGAAUCACGUGUAGUUGCUGGAAAUUGAAACUGGGUCCUCUUCAAGAGGAACAGUGCUCUAAACCAAUGAGAUAACUUUCCAACCCUGAUUGAUGUCUUGAGUAUAAUGUAUCAAGCAAGUUGUUCUCUGGCCACAUCUAUCUGAGGUUGUAAAUGCUUCUUCUAUAUAUAAUUUCUAGAUUUUCUAAAUUGUAAAAUUUCUUCUGUACUUUCAUGGAAGAAUCUCCACUUUUUGCUGUUCUAUAUAGUGUUAGGUUUGGUCUCUUGGUUGCAUCUCAAGACUUCUUCUUCUUCUUCUUCUUCUUCUUCUUCUUCUUCUUCUUCUUCUUCUUCUUCUUCUUCUUCUUCUUCUUCUUCUUCUUCUUCCUCUUCUUCUUCCUUCUUCUUCUUUCUUCUUCUCCUCCUCCUUCUCCUUCUCCUCCUUCUUCUUCUCCUACUCCUUCUUCUUGUUCUUCUUCAUCUUUCUCUUCUUCCUUCUAUUAUUAUUAUUAUUAUUGUUGUUAUUAUUAUUAUCUAUUUGUUGAAAUUCAACUAUAGUAUGUUAUCAAACUUACCAUCCUCUGCUGAUAUACCAUUCCUUAUUUUGUCAAGCAUAUUAGUGUGGUAGUUUGAAUGUACUCGACCCACAUAAUGUCAUAGGGGGUGGCAUUAUUAGAAGGUGUGGCCUUGAUGUAGGAAGUGUGACCACAGUGUGGGCUUUGAGAUUUAUUUUACUUAAAUUACUUAAGCUUUGUUGAAUAAUUUGUUGAGACUCUCAGUUAAUUUAUGGUUUCCUUCAAUAUGUAGGACUCUCAGACACUUCUCCAGCAUCAUGUCUACCUGCAUGCCACCAUGCUCCCUUCCAUAGUGAUAAUGAAAUGAACCUCUUACCUGUAAGCUACCACCACAAUUAAAUGUUUUCCUUUAUAAGAUUCCCCAUUGUCAUGGUGUCUCUUCACAGCAAUUGAAACACUAAGAAACACAGUUGGUGAUGCCUUUUUCCUGUUAUUUUUUAAGGAUACACUGGGUUUUAUUUUAUCCAACUUUUUAAAUUUGAAUUAGAAACAGGAUUGUUUUACAUGACAACCCCAGUUCCCUUCUCCCACCUGUCCUCCCCUACCCCCCAUCUAAAACCCUAUCACAUAUACUUUCUGCAUGGUGAAGCCUUCCAUAGGGUGUCAUCAGUGUCUAUUGUAUCUUUUGGGAUAGGGCCUAGACCCACCGCCGUGUGUCUUGGCUCAGGGAAUAUUCCUUCCUCUAUAUGGAAUGGGCUCCCAAAGUCCACACCUAUGCUAGGGAUAAGUACUGAACUUCUACAGGAGGUCCCAUAGAUUUCUGAGGUUCCCUCACAGAAACCCAUGUUCCUGGGGUCUGGAUCAGUCCCAUGCUGGUAUUCCAGGUAUCAGUCUGGGGAGCAAGAGUUCCCGGAUGUUCAGGUCAGCUGUUUCUGUGUGUUUCACCAGCCUGGUCUGGACCUCUGUGCUCUUCACUCGUCCUUCUCUGCAUCUGGGUUCCAGUUCAGUUUGGUGAUUAGUUGUGGGUGUCUGCUUCUACUUCUACCAGCUGCUGGAUGAAGGCUAUAGAAUGGCAUAUAAGUCAUCCAUCAAUCUCAUUAUCAGGGGAGGGCAUUUAAGGUAGCCUCUCCUCCGCUGCUUAGUUUGUUAUCUGGUGUCAUCUUUGUAGAUAUCCAGACAUUUCCCUAGUGCUUGAUUUCUCUGUAAAUCAGAAAUGUUUCCCUCUAUUAUUAUAUCUCCAUUCUUGUUAUUAUCUAUUCUUUCCUGACUCAAACUUCCUCCUCCCUCAUGUGCUCUGCAUCCCUCUUCUUCUCCCCUUCUCAUUCUACUAGCUCAGUCCCCCCUCUUCCCAUAGUCCCAAUUUGCUCAGCAGAUCUUGAAACUCUUCCCUUCUCCAGGGGACCAUGUAUGUUUCUCUUAGGGUCCUUGUUUAUGAGCUUCUUUGGCAGUGUGGAUUGUAGGCUGGUAAUCCUUACUCUAUGUCUAAAAUCCACAUAUGAGUGAGUACAUACCAUGUUUGUCUUUUUGCAAUUGGGUUACCUCGCUCAGAAUGGUUUCUUCUAGAUCCACCAUUUUCCUGCAAAUUUUAAGAUUUAUUUUUUUUCUGCUGAUUAGUACUUCUUUGUGUAAAUGUACCAAAUUUUAUGUAUCCAUUCUUUGGUUGAGGGGCAUCUAGGAUGCUUCCAGUUUCUGGCUAUUACAAAUAGUGCUGCUAUGAACAUAGUUGAACAGAUGUCCUUGUUGUAUGAAUGUGCUUCUUUUGGGUAUAUACCUAAGAGUGGAAUUGCUGGAUCUUGUGGUAGACUGAUUCCCAUUUUUUUUGAGGAGUCGCCAUACUGAUUUCCAAAGAGACUGUACAAGUUGGCACUCCCACCAGCAGUGGAGAAGUGUUCCCCUAUCUCCACAUCCUCUUCAACAAGAACUGUCAUUGGUGUUUUUGAUUUUGGCCAUUCUGACAUGAGUAAGAUGGUAUCUCAGAGUUGUAUUGAUUUGCAUUUCCCUGAUGGCUAAGGAUGAUGAACACUUUUUUAUGUGUCUUUCAGCCAUUUUAGAUUCCUCUAUUGAGAAUUGUCUAUUUAGUUCUGUACCCCAUUUUUUAAUUGGAUUGUUUGGAGACUAGCUUCUUGAGUUCUUUGUAUAUUUUGGAGAUCAGCCCUCUGUCAGAUGUGGGGUUUGUGAAUAUCUUUUCCCAGUCUGUGGGCUGCUGUUUGUCUUGCUGACUGUCUCCUUUGCCUUCCAGAAGCUUCUCAGUUUCAGGAGGUCCCAUUUAUCAAUUGUUGAUCUCAGUGUCUGUGCUACUGCUGUAAUGUUCAGGAAGCAGUCUCUUGUACCAAUUAAUUCAAGGGUAUUUCCCACUUUGUCUUCUAAUAGCUUCAAUGAAGCUGGAUCUAUGUUGAGAUCUUUGAUCCAUUUUGACUUAAGUUUUGUGCAAGGUGAUAGGCUUGGGUCUAACCGCGGUCUUCUGCAUGUCUGCAACCAGUUAUGCCAGCACCAUUUGUUGAAGAUGUUCUCUUAGUUCCACCAUAUAAAUAUGGAUUGUUUAUCAAAAAUCAGGUGUUCAUAGGUGUGUGGGUUAAUAUCAGGGUUUUCAACUCCAUUCCAUUGGUCUACCAGUCUAUUUUUGUGCCAAUACCAAGCUGUUUUCAGGACUAUAGCUCUGUAAUAGAGCUUGAAGUCAGGGAUGGUGAUGCCUCCAGAAGUUCCUUUAUUGUACAGGGUUGUUUUGGCUAUCCUGGGUCUUUUGUUUCUCCAUAUAAAGUUGAGAAUUGUUCUUUCAAGGUCUGUGAAGAAUUGUGCUGGGAUUUUGAUGGGGAUUGCAUUGAAUCUGUAGAUUGCUUUUGGCAAGAUUGCCAUUUUUACUAUGUUGAUCCUACCUAUCCAAAAGCAUGGGAGAUCUUUCCAUUUUCUGGUAUCUUCUUUAAUUUAUUUCUUUAGAGACUCAAAAUUCUUAUGGUACAGGUCUUUCACUUUUUUGGUUAGUGUUACUCCAAGGUAACUUAUGUUGUUUGUGGAAAUUGUAAAGGGUGAUGUUUCUCUGAUUUCUUCUCCACCAAUGUGUCAUCGGUAUAAAGUACGUCUAUGAUUUUUUUGAGUUAAUUUUGUCUCUUGCCACUUUGCUGGAUGUGUUUAUCAGCCGGAGGAGUUCCCUGGUAGAGUUUUUCGGGUCACUAAUGUAGGCUAUCAUAUCAUCUGGGAAUAGUGAGAGUUUGACUUCUUCCUUUAUGAUUUGUAUUCCCUUGAUCUCCUUUUGUUGUCUUAUUGUUCUAGCUAUAACUUCAAGGACAACAUUGAAGAGGUAUGGAAAGAGUGGACAGCCUUGUCUUGUCCCCGAUUUUAGAGGAAUUGGAUGGUUUCUCUCCAUUUAAUUUGAUGUUGGCUGUUCGCUUGCUGUAGAUUUCUUUUAUUAUUUUGAGAUAUGUUCCUGUUAUCCCUGAUUUCUCCAAGACCUUUAUCAUGAAGGGGUGUUGGGUUUUGUCAAAGGCUUUUUUGGCAUCUAGUGAGAUGAUCAUGUGGGUUUUUUCCCUCAGUCUGUUUAUAUGGUGGAUUACAUUCAUAGAUUUUGUAUGUUGAACCAUCCUUGCAUCCCUGGGAUGAACCUAUUUAAUCAUGGUGGAUGAUUUCUCUGAUGUGUUCCUGUAUUCAAUUUGCCAGUAUUUUAUUGAGAAUUUUUGCAUCAAUGUUCAUGAGGAAUAUUGGUCUGUAGUUCUCUUUCUUAGUUGUGUCUUUGUGUGGCUUGAGUAUCACAGUUAUUGUAGCCUCGUAAAAAGAGUUUGGCAGUGUCCCUUGUGCUUCUGUUGUGUGGAACAAUUUGAGGAGUAUUGGUAUUAACACUUCUUUGAAUUUCUGGUGGAAUUCUGCAGUGAAUCCAUCUGGCCCUGGCCUUUUCUUGGUUGGGAGACUUUUGAUACUGCUUCUAUUUCCUUAGAGGUUGUAGGUCUGUUUAAGUUGCUUAUCUGUUCAUGAUUCAAUUUCGGUAAGUGAUAACAGUCCAGAAAAUUGUCCAUUUCCUUUAAAUUUUCAAAUUUUGUGGAGUACAGGUUUUCAAAGUGUGACCUGAAGAUUCUCUGGAUUUCCUGAGUGUCCAUUGUUAUGUCCCCCUUUUCAUUUCUGAUUUUGUUAAUUGGCAUAAUCUCUUUCUGCCUUUUGGUUAGUUUGGAUAAUGGUUUUUCUAUCUUGUUGAUUUUCUUGAAGAACCAACUCUUUGUUAUGUUGAUUCUUUGAAUUGUUUUCUUUGUUUUGACUUUAUUGAUUUCUGCACUCAGUUUGAUUAUUUCCUGGCGUCUGCUCCUCCAGGGUGAAUUUGCUUCCAUUUUUUCUAAAGUUUUCAGCUGUGAUGUCAAAUCUCUGGUGUGGCUGUUCUUUAGUUUCUUCAUGUGAGCACUUAGAGAUAUAAACUUUCCUCUUAGUACUGUUUCAAAGUGUCCCAUAAGUUUGGGUAUGUUGUGUCAAUAUUUUCAGUGAAUUCUAGGAAGUUUUUAAUUUCUUUCUAUUUCUUCCUUGACCCAGGAAUGUUACAAUUGCGUGUUGUUCAAAUUCCAUGAGUUGUUAGGUUUUCUGCACUUUGAUUUGUUUUUGAUUUCUAUCUUUAAAGCAUGGUGGUCUGAUAACACAAAGGGGAUUAUUCCAAUUUUUUGUACCUGUUGAGGUUUUCUAUGUUGCUGAGAAUGUGGUCAAUUUUUGAGAAGGUUCCAUGUGAUGCUGAAAAGAAGGUAUAUUCUUUUGUGUUUGGAUAUUAAGUUCUAUAAAUGUCUGUUAAUCCCAAUUGGGUCAUAACCUCUGUUAGUUCCUUUGUCUCUUUGUUAAGUUUCUAUCUGGUGGUCCUGUCCAGUGGUGAGAGUGGGGAGUUGAAGUCUCCCACUAUAACUGUGUGAGGCCUUAUUUGUGAUUUGAGUUUUAAUAAUGUUUCUUUUACGAAUGUUGGUGCCUUUGUAUUUGGGGCAUAGAUGUUUAGAAUUGAGACUUCUUUCUGAUGGAUUUCUCUUGUGGUGAAUAUAAAAUGACCUUCUUCAUCUCUUUUGAUUGAUUUUAGUUUGAAGUUUAACUUGUUAGAUACUAGGAUAGCUACCCGAGCUCGUUUCUCAGGUCCAUUUGAUUGGAGUAUCUUAUCCCAACCCUUUACUCUGAGGUAAUGUCUGUAUUUGAAUUCGAGGUGUGUUUCUUGUAUGCAGCAGAAGGAUGGAUUCUGUCUUCAUAUCCAAUCUGUUAGCCUGUGUCUUUUUAUAGGCGAGUUAAGACCACUAGUAUUGAGGGAAAUUAAGGUCCAUUGAGUAUUUAUUCUUGUUUGUUUUUGAUUUGUUGUUGGUACUGAUAUAGUAUGUGGAUUUACCUUGCCUUUUAUUUUGUGUUUUUGUAGAGUGGGAUUAUCUAUUGCCUAUGUUUAUGUGAGUGUAGUUAAUUUCCUUAGGUUGGAGUUUUCCUUCCAGUACUUUCUGUAGGGCUAGAUUAGUGGUUACAUAUUGUUUAAAUCUGGUUUUGUCGUGUAAUAUCUUGUUUUCUCCAUUUAUAGUGAUUGAAAGCUUUGCUGGGUAUAGUAGUCUGGGCUGGCAUCCAUGUUCUCUCAGAGUUGGUAGAAUAUCUAUCCAGGUCCUUCUAGAUUUCAGAGUUUUCAUGGAGAAAUCUGGUGUAAUUCUGACAGGUUUGCCUUUAUAUGUUACUUGGCCUUUUUCCCUUGCUGCUCUUAAUAUUUUUUCUUUAUUCUGUAUAUUUGGUGUUUUAAUUAUUAUGUGAUGAGGGGACUUUCUUUUGUGGCUCACUCUAUUUGGUGUUCUGUAGGCUCUUUGCACUUUCAUCGGCAUGCCUCUCUUUAGGUUGGGAAAAUUUUCUUCUAUGAUUUUGUUGAAUAUGUUUUCUGCACCUUUGAGUUGGCUUUCUUCAUCUUCUUCUAUACCUAUUAUCCUUACAUUUGGUCUUUUCAUGGUCUCCCAUAUUUCCUGGAUAUUUUGUGUUAUGGAUUUGUUAGACUUCAGAUUUUCUUUCCUUGAUGACUUUAUUUCCUCUAGUUUGUCUUCAGCAUCUGAGAUUCUGUCUUCCAUCUCUUGUAUUCGGUUGGUCAUGAUUGUAUCUGUGGUUCCUGAUUGUUUACUCAGCUUUUCCACUUCCAGUAUCCCCACAGUUUGUGUUUUCUUUAUUGUCUCUAAUUCAGUUUUCAGGUCCUGAACUGUUUCCUUCAGCUGUUUAAUUGUAUUUUCUUGGCUUUUUAGACUUUCCUUGAUUUCUUGCAUCUUUUGGUUCAUCUUUUCUUUCAUUAGUCUAAAGGAUUUUCUGAUUUCCUCUCUUAGGUUCUCUAUCAUCUGCAUGAAGUUGUUUUUAAGGUUGCUCUCUUCUGCUUCUUCUGUGUUGGGAUGUUCAUGUCUUGCUGCUGUAGAGUCCCUAGACUCUGGUGGUGUCAUAUUGGUUUUCCUGUUGUUGGAUGUGUUUCUAUAUUUCAUCUUCCCAUCACUUCUUCCAGUGGGUACAGUUCGUGUCACUUCCUUUCCUGGUGUGUAUGGAUGUGGUGUUCUCUUCAGGUGUGUGCAAUUGACUUUGAUACUCUGAUGGGUCUCAAGUUGGGUGUAGGCAGGUUUGAGGCACUCAUUCUUCAGGUGGGUGAGAGCAGCACUGGGGCAAAGAUGUCAGGAGACUCUGGGUUGCUUGGUCCUCAGGGGUCAAGUCGUCCUGUCUACAGACCCUUGGGCAGGAGGUCCCUGAGUGGGCAGGCAGAAGUUGGGCCCAAUGCAGGGGCUGAAGCAGCUCCACUCUGCACUCUCUGCACUCUGUGGGGGCCAGAAUAGCCCAGCGAUCUCGGCAGAAUCAGGAUUCCAGGGUCCUCAGGGACGGAUUCAGUCUGCCUGCAGAUUCCGGGGUGGGAUUUGCCAGGGUGGACAGGCGGAAGUUGCGCCCAUAGUAGGGGCCAAAGCAGCUCACCUCUGCACUCUGUGGGGGCCAGAAUAGCCCAGCCUACACUGGGUCUUUAAUCCCACAUAUGUCUAUGUUUUUUCAAAAUCUCAAUUUACUUGUUGAUUUCUUCUUUCAUGUUGACAUUUUGACCAAUAUUUCUGGUUGACUCAUUCAUUUUAAGACUAUUUUUCUCUGUGUUACUGACUACUCUUUAUUCUAAGAUUGAAUUAAUCUGUUAGUUUACAUCACCCUUUGGAUCACUGGUCAUUUUUGUUCAAAAUGCUUUGAAAUCUUCAUCUGACAUUUUUCUCAUUUCAAGACACCCUAAGUUUACUAACUGAGGAGUUAUCAUCCUUUGAAAGGUCAUCUUGAUUUGAGUUUUCUUGGUUCUGGAAUUUCUAGAUCAAUAUUUGUACAUCUAUUUGUUUGGAUUUCUCUUCAAGAUUUAUGGGGAGGAUGCUCUGAUUGAGAAUCUUACUCCUAAAUGCUCAAUUUCUAGUGUUACUCAGGAAGGGGGAAAUAAAAUACUCUACUAGUAACAAAACCAAUCCAUGCAGGAUAUAGUAAUGCACUUAAAAUGAAAUACAGAUCACUAAUGCAUUACCUAUGACCAUAAAGUAAAAAAUAACAAAACUUGUGCAGAGUAUUCUGUGAAAUUAAAAAUUGUUAACGCUGAGAUGGAAAGAUAGUUCAGUGGCUAAGGGCAUGGAUUACUUACUUCUAUAAUUGAAAAUAAUUUUUCAUCUAUCUCUGUGAGUUCAAAACCAGCCAGAUUUACAAAACCUAGUUCCAGGUUCCUCCAAAGCCCACAGAGAAGCCCUGUCUUUAACCACCCCCCAAUGAUAAUAAUUAUUAAUGCCAUAUAAUCUGAUCAUGGUUUCUUCUCCCCCAAAUCUUGCCAGAUCUACCUUGAUUACUCACCAUCCAUCCAAACCUAUACCAUCUCUCUCUCUCUCUCUCUCUCUCUCUCUCUCUCUCUCUCUCUCUGUCUCUCUCUCAUUUGAAUAUAAACAGAAUAUGAAAAUUAAUGAUUACAUAAGAAAAAAGGACAAAGUAAUCUACCAGUAGAAAAGGGUCCAAAGAAAAAACACAAGAAACACAUAUAAACAAAGGGAAACACACAUUAGAACACAUAGAAGUCCCAUAAAAAUACAACUUCAGAAACAAUAAUACAUUUGCAAAAUACCUGUGAGGAAAAAACUGGCAAAAAGGAAAACAAUGAGUUAUAAUCAAGGAACCUCCAUUAAUGCAAUUGAGUGCAGUUUGUGUUUUUAAUCUACCGUUGGGAACAUGGUCUGUCCUUAAGGAUAGUUUGUAGACCCAGUGACAUUCAUUUGGAGAAAAAUAAUUUUUCCUUUGUGAGUGGUUAUCAAUUAGACGCAGCUUCUUUCUUAGAGUUGGGUUCUUGUGCCCACUUCUCCAUUCCACUCUGACCACCCCCGAUUGGGCAUGGUCAGCAACACCUGUUGCCAGCCCCAAGUGAGCAUAGUCAGCAUUACCUCUAAACAAGAUUCCCCUACACCUCUCCCCUCCACUUCUCCCCUUCUCUUUUUUCUAGCUCCCUCCCCACCAUACUCCCAAUUAUCUCAGAAAAUCUUGUCCCUUUCCCCUUCUCCUGGGGACCACGCAUUCCUCUCUUAGGGUCCUCCUUGUCUUCUAGCUUCUCUGGUGCACACCUGAGAUUCUUUUUGUUGUAAAUGUAUAUUAAAAGGGAUGAAUGUAGGUUUAGAUCCCAGAAGAUAACUGGAACCAUAACAUAUGAAAUAAACAGGUAUGAAGAAGAUAAGAGUUCCUUGUGACAUGAAAAAUUAUAGAGAUUUGACUAUUUUAGGUAGACACAGAAAACUAACUGUUGGAAUUUGAGAUAAGGAAGAAGAACAGGGAUUAUAGGAACCACCAAGACAAGAAUGUGUGGACAUGACACUCUGAAACCAGUUAGUUUAGUUCAAAUAAAUGUCUCUUUUAGAAAGAGCAAAUGACAUUGGAGAAUCAUUGACAUUUUUUGACUUUUUAAAUUUAAAUUCAUUAAUUACUACUCAUAUUUACAUAUCCAUCCCCCACAAUCCCUCACCCUCUCAUCAUCCCAUGUUCCCCACCAACCCUCCCAACCCAUCACCCAACUCAUCCCUAGGGAUAGUGAGGCCCUCCACAGGGGACCUUCAAAACCUAUCAUAUCAGUUUGGAGAGGGCCUAGGGCCUCCUUGCUGUAUCUGGUCUGCAAUAGUAUCCCUCCAUAGGGAAAUGGCUCCCAAAGUCCAUUUCUGCUCUAGGGAUAAAGACUGGCUCCACUGUUAGAGGUCCCAUAGACUGUCUUGGCCUCCUAGCUGGCAUCCACAUUCAGAGGGCUUGCUUUGGUCCAAAGCUGUUUCCCCAGCUUUAUGACUAGGGUCUCUAUGCUCUUACUAGGUCAGGUCAGAUGUUUCUGUGGGUUUCUGCAGCUUGCCCCAACUUCCCUCAUUGACAUUUUUAUUGACAUUUUUUAUGUUGUCACCUAUAACAUAAUUUCAUGAAGAAAUAAAACUCAGAUUAGGUUUCUGAUGUUUUCUAUUUAUCAUGUAUAUAUUGUUCAUAAUAUAUUAUUUCAAUGUCUCAUUUAUCUCUAAUUUUUCUACUUCUAAGAAGCAUAUAAAUUUGACCUACAAUACAGAAAUAUCAACUGUUAAGAAACUAAUAAGAUAAGCAGAUCCAGGGGCUGAAGAGAUGGCUCAGUGGCUAAGAGCACUAGCUGGUUGGCUUCCAAGAGGUUCUGAGUUCAUGGUGGCUCACAACCAUCUGCCAUGAUAUCUGGUGUCCUCUUCUGGCCUGCAAACAUAUAUACAGGCAAAACCCUGUAUACUUAAUAAAUAAAUAAAUAAAAAUUUAAAAAAGAUAAGCAGAUCUGAAGCAAAUAGCAACAGAGAUACACACACAAAAUGACACUGAACUACAAAGAAUACCAGAAACCUAUGUAUUUCCUACAAAUUUUUCCCAGGACAUCAAAUUAAAAUUGAAAUCAAAUCAUUACACUUCUCCAUGAAACAGAAAAGACAAUAAGGCAGACAGAGUUGGACAUUACUUUAUAUUGACUUGAGAGAUUGUCUUUAAUGUCUUAUUUUAUUUGUAUUUUGUUCAGGUUAAAAGCUUGAAGAGCUGCUUGCACUUCAGGGAAAACAGGUUAGAAUAACAAAGGGCUCCUCACACUUCAGGCGGGAAUGGUUAGAAUAACAAAGGGCUCCUCACACUUAAGGCGGGAGUGGUAAGCAUGGACUCUUAUGCUGUUGUGCAGGUACCUCUUUUCUAUGACUGUUUUAUGUAUCCUUGGGAUCAAAGACUC
ensembl:lncRNA